UGAUUAGCUUGCUCCUCAUCAGGGAUACCCAUGUCAAAGGGAGGUGACCCUCUGUGUUGGGGGGUACCCAGAUGAUGGUUGAUGUCCACAGGGGCAACGAGCUCGCAUGUUUGAGUACGCCUUGAAGGAAAAUUUUGUGAAAACAUGUUCAUUUGAGCAACAUCUAUUAGCAUGCAAUUAACAAUUAAAGGCGGAAUCAUGCUUGCAUGCACUCAAAAACAAAACAUUACCCAUGAAAUUCAAAGCCUAGUAGAUUGGUGAACCAAUACUCAACUCAAAAACAAAGUGAGUUGAAAUUUAUACCUUUGUAGAUUCCUCUUUGCAUAAGCAAAUGCUAAUCACCCAAAGAGAGGGCCUUCAUUCCUUGCUUCUUAAAUCUAUGGAUUUGGAUGGAAGAAUAGGUUUCUCCAAGUUCCCAAAAUAGAGAACCUCUAAGUAUCUUCACCAAGGUUAGAUUGGAGAAGAAAUGAGUGACCUUGGAGGAGUAGUAUUGCUAGCUAAUCCCUCCAAGGGGGCCGGCCUCUUUAGAGAGAAAGGGAGAGACAUGUUCUCUCCAAUUUUCUCCCAAAAGAAACCCUUAAUGAAUUUUAGGCUAUAAAGUCCUUUAUAUAGUCCCUUCAAAUAAGUGACCUAAAGAACCAAAAAGCCAUUCUCUCUAACAUGGCCGGCCAUAAGGGUUUUUAUUGGGCUUUUGGGCCUUUGUGAAUUAAGUUUUCAUACAACUUAAGUCAAUGGGCUUGACGUUCGAAGUCCCAUUGGGCCUUGAGGCCCAAAACUAACCCUUGGUCUUUUAACGAACUUUAUUCGUUUGAUUAAUUAACAUAUUAAUUAAUCCUUGCCAUAAAUUAUUAAAUAAUUAAACCAUUUAAUUAUUCUUACUCAUCUCCAUUGUUUCUUCAAUCUCCACCUUACACGGUGUACGAUCCAUUAGGUUCCUUUUAGCGAGGCAGUGGGCGAUUAAAACCAUUUCAAAUCGAUUGUGAAUUGAAACUUACUUUCAAUUCUCCCUUUAGUGAUUAUACACGUUUAGGGCUUCCACAAACCAUGAGUGACACCUAGCAGCAUAUCAUGGUUACCCAAGCUAAUCAGAAGAGGUGGAGAACCUAUUCAGUUUAGGAUUACAAAUGCAAUACGGUCUUUCUCUAAUACAAUACUCUUGACCACAUUGUUUGGUUUGAUAGUUUAUUCAUGUCUACUAUCCAAUGUGAUUCGUGUGCUUAUAUGAUUACCUUGAAUGUGAUUUGGAACGCCUUCCUAAAUCUCAUUCAUACUCUAAUCCAGAGAUUUUCAAUCAUAUCAUAGAGUAUUCUCCCUUAAACGAUUUGAAGGUUAGAGAUCCCUUGUUGCGCAUUCACUUGCCUCCAUGGCUAAGUGGCUUAACCCCAACGAUGCCGUGGACACCCGCGGAUGGGGUGACUUUGACAUAAUCAAAGAUCAAGAACUUAACCACAAGACAACUGUGAUGCCUCAGGUCAAAGGACUACUUUGCAUUAUCCCAACCAUGAGUUCUCAUGUGACAUGAAUAUGAGAACUCUUCGUUGAUCGUGUUUAGUGAACUCAUUCUCUAUUGAGCACCUACGUACUUGUCUUGAUGUCACACACACCAAUGACUCGAGACUAGUCACUCUCCCUGAGAGAAGACACAACACGUACUGAUCUUAACGGACUGUCAAUGCCCAAUUGGCAAUCCUAUGAUCAGGAACGUUUAGGAUGUGUCUACGAAAGAAUGGUCUCAUGAAUCUAACUUCUUUAGAUUGCAUUCUCCCAAUCACAUAUUCCUUGGACUUAUCGUUUAAGCAUAUAACAUUUAUAUGAGACGGCUUAAACAAUAACCUUUGCCCUUUAUAUUUAAACUACGAUUAGUUUAACAUGUGAAAUGUCCGUAAAGUAUCAUCAUAUGAUUGGUUUUAGGGCACAUUUCCAACACGCCUAGUUUCGUGGAGCGUCUCAAAGAGAUUCUCAUACUGCUCCUAGAGGACCUCAUUCUUCAUUGCUAUCUUGUUGUUCUGAGCAUCGACUUUAGCUUGAAGAGCAACCCUUUUUCGUUCAUUCUUUCGUUGCUUCACACUAGGUGCAAGAGGGGUGUCCUUCGCUCCCCAUGUUGGAGAGGUGCCUAGUCAAAAGAGAGUGUACGAAUGGUGGAAACCAACAUAACAAAGCUGAAGAGAGUGGGAAUAAGUGUCGUUCCCACAGACGGCGCCAAAUGUUGAUGCACAAAAUCAGUGAAGACUUUGGUACAACAGAAAGUGUUAAGUUUGUGACCUUCGCUAGAUUGCUCCGGUCAUUAGUGUGGAUAAGUAUGUAUAUGGAUAGAGACAGGGAAGCAAACACAAGAUGUAUGUGGUUCACCCAAAUUGGCUACGUCCAUGGAGUAGAGGAGUUCUCAUUAAUUGUGAAGGGUUUACACAAGUACAUAGGUUCAAGCUCUCAUUUAGUGAGUACAAGUGAAUGAUUUAGUACCAAUGACAUUCGGAAAUAUUGUGAGAGAAUGAUCUCUAUUUAUAAAAUAGAGUUUCUAGUUUCAUUCUGACAUUGACACGUGUCGUGUUGUGAUUGGCUUCUGAUGUUGACACGUGUUGCACUAUGAUUGGCUUCUGAUGUCGACACGUGCUGCGCUGUGAUUGGCCUCCUGGUUGGAGGGAAACUCUUCUGGGUCCUUGACGUAAUAACGUUGACCGGUGCUCAGUAGUUUCGGGAUUGGUCAAGUAUGGUACAAACAACUACCACAUUAAUCAACACUGCAUCAAAAUUUCAGUGAUAACAAUUGAGCCGUUUAGAGGUAAACUGUCAUCAUAUUGCAUAUGGAUGAGUAUCUGUUAUAUAUAUAUAUGUUGAUAGAUCGUAGAUACACAACUUGGAAGGAAUGUAGAAUUGGUUCGCGCGGAUGGGUUCGAGUUAGGAGAAAUGACUUCUUAAGUGACUCAAGGUCAGCAGUCCAAAUGAAAAAAAAUAUGGGACCCAAUGAUAGAUGAAAUUUUUUAAACUUUAGCGUUGAGGAGAGAAGUGGUUAUUUAUAAAAUUUUCAUGAGGUAGUUCACUAUAAAUAAAAAUUUAUGGUGGAAAUUGAUAUUCACUUACAAGUGUAUGGAGUGAAUCCACAAAUAUUUCUUUUUAUUUUUCAAUACAAUAUUCGUUUUGGGUUGGAUUAGAAUUUUUAUGCAAGUUUUUGAAUCUAGAGAUGCAAAUCCAAUCUCCCCAAUCAUCGAAUCCUAUCUGCGAUAAUAUUUUUUUAAUAACAAAUGAUAUUAUCUACGUAUUAAGGAAAGAUACUGAAUUUAACCUCACAAUGAACUAUCAAUAAUAUUGUUUAAUUCUAGAAUAAAAUUGGAAUUUACAAGUUUACAGUGCAUGUAUUGGAGCAGCACACUGUGUAGUUGGCAAUCAUAAUUUUACAAGUCAUGACACGAUUUGACUCUUCAAUAUCCUAGUGUCUGAUGUAAAAUAUUUUUGUUCGUUUUUAAUAGAAUUCGUAGCGUUGAGACACAUAGUAGAAAGAAAAAACCUUGUAUAAGAAUACUUAUGUUGAAUUUGAACCAAUAUCUGUUUGAUGAAAUGUAUAUUUUACUUUUUAUUUUUUGGAAUAAAAUUAUUGAGCGAGAUUAGCUCAACAGUCGCUUGCAUGUGACUUGGAGCUUGGACCUUGAAGGAGGAGAGAAAUAAAUAAAUACAUCUUUUUCACCACGCGUGCCGGUUACUUGUAAAAAAUGAGAAUCAUAUGGAGUAAUGUUAUUCAUACUAUAUUUUAUAUCAUAUUUCUAUAUUAUUUUAGAUGAUAUCUGAUGUGGACAUCCACAUCAUUUGAAAAAUUUGCAAAAUCCAAGGAAAUAAAGAAAAAAGAUUCUUUAUAUAUCACAAUCAUAAUUUAAUUAACUAGUUUUUCUUAAUUAUUAGUUUAUUAAAUAAUGAACUAAAUUUUAAAAUAUGAUUAAUUCAAAUGAUGUGGCUGUCCACAUCAAAUGUCACCUAAGACGGUAUGAAAAUAUAAUACAAAAACAUGAUAUAAAUAGUAUUACUCGAAUCAUAUGAUAUUUGGAUCUCGGUGCUAAGAUCCAGAUUUAACCUGAAACUUGAGUCCAUCAUGUUAGAUUUACUAGGAAUUUAAUUGCCAAUGAAUGUACUAAUGAUUCUCAAGAUUCCCCCUCAGGCCCUUACCCACAUCCAAUCAUAACUUUACACAUAAAUUAAUACAGUUUAUAAACAAUAUUUCACACGGUACAUCCUGAGUUUGAUUAUUGAUUUUGAUGAAUUGCACAAUGAUGGUCAAGGAGACUGAAAUGUAAGUUAUGUCAACCCUGAAAGAAUGGAUUACCAUGAUGACGUGACCGUCAACUAAUCCCUCUUUAAAAAAAAAAAAAAAAAAAAAAAAAAAAAAAAACUGUUUAUAAACAUAUAAUUGAGAUUGAAGUAGAUCAGCAUUUUGAGAGCACCAAGUGGUGGGGAGUGGUCCCAGGUGUGACAAAAAGGAUGGGAACUUUGUGUGAAUGUUGAGGUCCCACACCAACAUACCAACCCAUAUUAAUCAACAUAUCACUCCCAAUGCAUCUCUUUCCAUUUUGUUUACGAGACGUCCAUUCUAAGCUGACGAUGCCACGGAUUCCCAACUCUUUAUUCUAUUAUUUCAUAAAUUAAAUGAUGUAUAUGUGUGUUAAUUUCUGGUUCAUUUAUUCUAUCGCUCUGAAAUUGUCAUUUGAUCUCAUUUUAUUUUAUGAAACUAAAUUUGUUUCAGUUUAUCAUCUGAUUUGUUAAAGUUGAUCUAUUUUACUCCAUUUGUGUUUACAAUGGUAGAGAUUUGAUAGUUCCAGAUGUUUAAAGUGGUCUAAAAAUUUCAUUCCUUGUCAACAAUGGCUCAUCUCUACCAACAUUAAUAUAAAUGUCUAGACUGCCCUUUCAUUUACGUCCAUAGACAUUUGCAAAAAUAAGGUGAAAUGACUCGAUUUGGCAAAGUUGGUUAUUUAACAUUUUAAUUUGAUGAAAAAAAUGUUUCCAAAUAAAAUAGUUUGGUGGUCUUCCUCACUCGGGUUCUAUGUUCUCUAGGUUGAGAUUUUUUCUGAAUCUUUGAGUUUGAAACAGAUGGACGGGGAAAUUCGGAACACUAUUUAAAUUUUGUGAUUUCAAUUAACACAUUUUACUAGCCUACUUCAUACAAAAUUAGCUCUUGAACAGUUAGUAUCUCUUUCUCUGUGUUAAACAGCCUGAAUUUUCAAAUCCUCAGCUUUAGACACAAAGACUUGAAGAGAAUCUCAAUUCUCUCCCACCCUCUUCCUCUCUUAGGAGAGAUUUUUUAGUGUGACCAGAACACGGAAUAGUACAUCACGUGUUAUUAUACAAAUGGCGAGAUAUGUGUGUUAAACAGUUAAUAACUUAAAAAAUAAAAAUUUCCACUUAUAUAAAAUACAUGAUGUACCACCCAUAUUCCGGUCACAAUAAAAAUUUUCUCCUCCCUUAGAAUCCAACGAAACUAUUUUUAAAUAAAUAAACAAAUAGUUAGUAGUUUGGACCCCGUCAUGGCCCAUGCAGCUCUAUUCACCCGAUCCGUAAUGAAGGAGGCAUUACCAGAAUCCGGAUUACAAAUUGGCAAAUUUAACCCACCUCAUUGUGUGACGGGCCUUGAGUUGGGCCUUAUGAUGUUAAAUGGGCUCAAAUGUUAAGCAACUUGCAGGCAAGACAAGCCCAACUAGUGGGAUAGCCCAGCUUCUAUGGGUCAAUGUUUGCUUUACGGAUAAUAACCCCUUAAUAAUGCGGUAUAGCGUCCCUCAAAAAUAAAAAAAAUAAAAAAAUGCGGUAUAGCAGACAGUUAGUUAUUUAUCUUCAUUUGUAAGUAAUAAGUCUUAGAUUUGAUUCUCGCAAAAGGCACAAAAGACGAAUUUGAACCAUAUUAUUUCUAACUCACUGCAAGGCUAAGUCUUAGUUCAUUGUGAGACUAAAUCCACCACUUCCUUUUCGUGUAGAUAAUAUCGUUUGUUAAAAAAAAUAUGUGGUAAACGGUAUUUAACUAAAAUUAUAAAUAAAAGAUUUUAAGUUUGAAUCUCAUAAACGACGAACGAACUAAUUCAUUGUACUCAUGUAAAAAUAUAUUUUCUUCAUGUGGUUUGACUUUCACCCUACUUAUUUUUUUUCCCUUCCCUUCCAAUUCAAGUUUUAAUGCAUGUGACCUUUGUAAGUUUUUUACUCUUAUAAAAAAAAUUACAAAACAUGGUAACAUAACAUACCCUCUAUAAAAAAAAAAGGUUAAAAAGGUACAUUCACAAAUUUCCUAGAAAGUCUUAAAACGUUAUAUUUCAUUUAAUUUUUAUAUGGUUUCUUUUGUUUUUAACUCAAGCAAUAAUUUGGCGAAAACUAAUUUAAAACACAAUAAGAAAUUUGAUUUUUUUAAUUUUAUAUGAGCGAUAAUAAACAGAAAUUCAAACUCAAGAUCUGAACGGCAAAAAUAAAUAUUUUGAUAUAAACGUCAUGUAACGUUACAAAAGCGGUUCAUUCAAAAUACAAACGUAUAUAUAAAGGUACUAAAUUAGAAAUAUAAAUUCCAAACAUAGAAAAUUGUUUUAAUAAAGUUGGAAAUCAAGAUUUGGGAAAAAUGAUUAGACGCGGAGAGCGCUAUAUCCACGCCCUUGGACUCGAAGACUCACAUUCUUCUCUCUUUCUUCUGCAACCCUCUUCUUUCUCUCUCUACAUUCAAACCAUCGACACAUUCCAUUUCCCGAACUUCCCACCAACUCCACCCUCUCUCUCUCUCUCUCUCCCCUCCCCUUUCUCUCUCUGGAAAGCAGUUCCAUGCUUCCAUGCUAGGGCUGCUUCGAUUUCGGAAGCCGUAGAAAAAUAUCUACACGGUAAUGGUGUUCAAGGCCAGGUUCUUCUCCUCCAAGAAGUCCGACUCCUCCAACAGCCCCGAUGGCUCCAAUAAUAGUCCGCGAUCUCUGGGUUCCAACUCCCCGAUCGGAUCCGAUAAGAAGAAGCCCAAAUCCGCGUCCAAAGACGACUCGCCGGGCCCGAGUACCAGUUCCGGCGGCGGAGGGGGCGGCUUCAGUCGGCGGAGUCUAGUCAAAGACUUGUCAAAGAAGAAGGAUGUGAAGGGGAAAGAGAGUCCAGCUCAGCUGAAGACGCCGGCGAAGUCCGCGCGCUCGACUGGCGCGACUCCCAAGAAGUCGUCUGCGUCCACAUCGGGGGCGGCGGAGUCUGCGGCGGAGGUUUCUCCCAUUCUGGCGUCGUCGCUGGGGUUGAAUAGGAUAAAGACGAGAUCGGGGCCGUUACCGCAGGAGAGCUUUUUCGGGUAUAGGGGCGACAAAGGGUCGGCGCUGGCCUCCAGUAAUUUGUCUAGGCCGGGCGUCGGCGGCGAUCGUUUAGGGUCGGGCAUUGGGGGGAAGAAGAAGGAGGCUGCGAGUCAGACUAGGAUUGGGUUCAAUGAAAAUGUGGCAAGUGGGAAUUGGGGUGAUAAUGGCAGCAAUUCUGAUGCUGCAUCAACUGGUAGCUUGCCUUCGAGAGACCAGAGCCCGAACGUGGUGGCGCCAUCGCGGUUACACAACGGGGAAUCGUCGGCAGAAGCUGGUACAAUUUUGAGCAAUUAUGCAAUGCAGGAAUUUUUUUUAAGUUGUGCUAGUUUAGUUUAUGCUGUAAGUACUGGGUUAUGGUUAAAGAUUUAGCCUUUAGGUCGUGUUUUGAGCAUAGAACUUAGGAGUCACUUGGUUUUGAAAUCACUCCAGUAGGUUGUAGGCAUUACCGCAAAAGUAACUUGGACUCUAACUAAAACUAUUAAUUGUUCCUACAUUUGUAAAAGGCAUCGAUUUCGAAUAAUCUGUAGAGCAAUGAAAGCUUUAUCUUCUGAUGAGUGUGCAAUGGUCUGAUGGGUGGACGUGGCUCUGGUUGACGUGGGUUUCCCCGCUACAUGAAUCUAGCUUAAUGUUAUUACUCCACCCAUCACUUGGUGUACGCUUAGGAAAACAUGAACGACAAGUGUGGUUGUGCGUGGUGACUUAAUCAAACUUCAUGAGUUGAUACUAGAACGCCUUUGUUCUUUUGUACAAAUUAAUGGAUUUUUGUACACUUUCAUUUUUCUAUGAUGAGUGGGAUGCCUGUUGUGUUUCCCCUCUAAUGGCUUUUGAUACCUCCAUCAUCCUUAACAGGGAGAAACAUAUCAUCUUGGGGUCACUCUGGAGGCUUAAGAAGUUCAGAUGUAUGUACACCAGAGGUGCGGGUACAAUUAUUUUAUUUAUUGUCUCCACAUAUUUAUUUCUUAUUUCUGACGGUUUCCCUGUUCUAUUAUUUCUUGUCAUAAUGUGUUUGCAAUUGAUAUUUUUCCUUAAUAGACUGCAUAUGAUUGUGAAAAUCCUAAGGAGUCCGAGUCUCCUCGUUUUCAAGCUAUACUCCGCUUAACGAGUGCACCAAGAAAGAGGUUUCCUGCUGAUAUAAAAAGUUUUUCCCAUGAACUCAAUUCAAAAGGCGUAAGACCCUUCCCAUUUUGGAAGCCUCGAGGCUUGAACAACCUGGAGGUACGUAUGUCUUCCUUUUAUAUCACAGUUUUUAGUAGAUAAAUUUGAACUAGGAGAUUUUACCUGCUUGGAAUAUUGCUUCUGAUAUGCAGGAAAUCUUGGUUGCGAUUAGGGCAAAGUUUGACAAAGCAAAGGAAGAAGUGAACUCUGACCUGGCUAUAUUUGCAGCAGAUUUAGUUGGAAUUCUUGAAAAAGAUGCAGAUAAUCAUCCAGAGUGGCAGGAAACUCUUGAGGAUUUGCUGGUUUUGGCUCGAAGUUGUGCAAUGACAUCAUCUGGAGAGUUUUGGCUUCAGUGUGAGGGCAUAGUUCAGGAAUUGGAUGAUAGACGUCAAGAACUUCCUCCGGGGGUGCUGAAGCAGCUUCACACUCGAAUGCUUUUCAUACUCACAAGGUGUACUAGGUUGCUGCAAUUCCAUAAGGAAACUGGAUUGGCUGAGGAUGAACAGGUUUUCCAGCUUCGCCAAUCAAGAGUUCUGCGUUUCUCUGAUAAAAGAAUUCCUCCAAGUUUGGCAAAGGAUACAAAGAAUUUAAGUGUUGCAAAAGCCUCUAAAGCAGGUUCAGCUAGGAAAUUUUACAGUCAGGAGCAACAUGGCUUGGAAUGGAAGAGACCAUGUUAUACAACCGGGAAAUUUGUUCGCACCUCCUGUUGAUCAACCCUCUAAGAAUUUGGAGUCUCCUGCUGGUAGGGACCGGAUGACAUCAUGGAAGAAAUUCCCAUCUCUGGUUGCAAAAAACAUGAAAGAAGCUACUGAAUUUAAGGAGCAGAGUGAUUCUAAGGUUGAACAUUUGAAAGGUUCAGACAACAAGAGAGGGACUUCUAACAUCGAUCCUACUUCUGUUAAGCCUCCUGAGCCUUCUGGCAAGGGUUCUCAUGAACGUUCUUCCAAGCACCAGCACAAACCUUCUUGGGGUUGGGGAAAUCAACAAAAUGUAUCUGAUGAUAGUUCUAUAAUAUGUCGCAUUUGUGAGGAGGAGGUUCCAACUGCAAAUGUGGAAGACCAUUCAAGAAUUUGUGCAAUUGCUGAUCGAUGUGAUAAGAAAGGUAUAAGUGUGAAUGAACGUCUUGUCAUAAUUUCUGAAACCCUUGAAAAACUGAUGGAGUCCUUUGCUCAAAAGGAUAUCCAGCAUGGUGUAGGAAGUCCAGACAUUGCGAAAGCAUCUAGUUCAAGCGUGACAGAAGAAUCAGAGGUUCUAUCUCCAAAACUUAGUGACUGGUCCCACAGAGGCUCAGAGGACAUGCUUGAUUGUUUUCCUGAAGCUGAUAAUUCAUCUUUUAUGGAUGACCUGAAAGGUCUACCUUCCAUGUCAUGUAGAACUCGUUUUGCUCCAAAGUCAGAUCAAGGAAUGACAACAUCAUCUGCAGGCAGCAUGACUCCUAGGUCUCCCCUAUUGACCCCAAGUGGCAGUCAGAUUGACUUGCUCCUCGCAGGCAAGGCUUCUUUUUCUGAGCAAGACGAUAUACCUCAGGUAUCUUAUUAAUCUGUUUGAUUUUACAUAUACUUCUUUGCUCUGGGAGUUGCCCAGGCACAUGCUUGUGAUGCUUGGGAUGCAAUUAUACGGCAUUUGAAUAUCAAUUUACAACACGAGCUAUAAUCUUUGUCAAAUUCAAAAUGCAAUGGAAAGAACUUGCUGUCCUCUCCAAGUCCUUAAGUUUUCUUAUUAAAUGAAAAUUAUUACCUCAAUUACUGUGCACCACCUCCAGGUUAUGAGUGUUUGCACAUGCUGAAGUGGGAAUAUAUAUGUUAUUCAAACUUUCAAAGUAGCAUGAAUUUGAUUUAAUUUUAGUACGGGUUUUGCUGGCCUUGGUGCUGUGCUUACUGGUACCCAACUUUGUAUCAAAGUUUUAUUUUUCAUGCUAUCAAAGCUAACUCCAUUUGAAUGAUACAGAUGAAUGAACUUUCUGAUAUUGCCCGGUGCAUAGCAAAUACACCUUUGGAUGAUGAUCGCUCCAUGCCAUAUCUACUUACUUGUCUUGAAGACUUGAGAGUUGUUAUAGACCGCAGAAAGUUUGAUGCACUUACUGUGGACACAUUUGGGGCACGCAUUGAGAAGCUGAUUCGGUGGGUACUUGCUGCUAUUUUUCUUGGCUUUUACAAGCUUGAAGCCUUCAACUAAAGUGUUCAUUAAUAUACCUUGAACUAUGGUAUCUACAUUUCUCUUGAAAUGUAUUAGUAAACAAUUCAUUGAGUAAUCAUCAAAACUACGUGUAACCUUCCCAGUUCCUUUUUUAAGUUCCAUUUUACAAUAUCCUAAUGUUGAUUUUCUAGGGAGAAGUAUUUGCUGCUUUGUGAGUUAGUGGAUGAUGAGAAGGUUGAUUUAGCAACUACCGUAAUUGAUGAAGAAGCUCCUUUGGAAGAUGACGUGGUUCGUACAAGCCCUAUACCUUUUUCCAAGGACCGAACAUCUAUAGAUGAUUUUGAAAUUAUCAAACCAAUAAGUCGUGGGGCAUUUGGACGAGUUUUCUUAGCUAAAAAGAGAACAACAGGGGAUCUUUUUGCGAUUAAGGUACCACAUAAUUAGACAUGUAAUUUCUUGCUGACUGUAUUACUCCAUGUCACCCUUAGUUGUUUAAGCUUACUGUUGUCUUUGAUAUACUUUUCUGUACAUUACUGAGUUGUUACUGUUUUAGUUUUUUCGGUGAUUUAUUCAUGUUAUAGCCGGUCUUCUGUGUGCUUUUAUUUAUUGGGAUAGCUUCUUCAUCUCUAUCUUUGUUUUUAUUUUUAAUUUGACCCUGUGGAAACUUUUGGCAUAAUCAAUUUAAUGGUUUCUAAGUACCAUAAUUGAUGAAAAUGAUGCUACUUUGGAUGACAUCUAGCCUGUCUAGUCUAUAAAAUUUAGUGUUUCCAUCUCCACAAACACCCCUAAAACAAAGACAAUAAUGUUUUGGUUUUGUCCUGUAGUUGAGCAUGAAGAGGAUUUGCUCAUUCUUAUUUUGUAUCAUUUGUAACAGGUUCUUAAAAAGGCUGAUAUGAUCCGAAAGAAUGCUGUUGAAAGUAUAUUAGCAGAACGUGACAUCUUGAUUUCAGUCCGCAAUCCUUUUGUGGUGAGCAGGUGUUCUAGUAAAGCGUUUUACCUUGCCUUGAGAAACAUUUAGUUUCAUUCUAACACAAAUUUGAACUGUAUCAGGUUCGCUUCUUCUAUUCUUUUACUUGUCGUGAAAACUUGUAUCUUGUGAUGGAGUAUUUGAAUGGAGGAGAUCUAUACUCUUUGUUGAGGAAUUUAGGCUGCUUGGACGAGGAGGUUGCUCGUAUAUAUAUAGCAGAAGUGGUAUGGGCUUGCAACUUGUUCAGAACUAUUUUGCUGCAUACUUUUUGCUAGUUUAUAAUCUGAGGUCCUGUUUAUCUAUAUUUGAUUUUGCAGGUGCUUGCUUUAGAAUAUUUACAUUCACUUCGUGUGGUUCAUCGUGAUUUGAAGCCUGACAAUUUGUUAAUUGCUCAUGACGGCCAUGUUAAGGUACGUACGUACUGAUUUAUCUUUAUUAGUUUUGUUGCGUUUCAGUGUCAAUAUAAUAGUGGUUAUAUUAUCGUUAGAGUUUUUCAGUUGAAGCAGGAUAGUGAAAUUUGAAAAUCCAUCUCUACUAGAGGUCGUGAUGGUAACAUGGUUUAGCUUUAGUUGGAUGCAUAUUUUUGUUCAAGAUAAAUGAAACACUUUGUAUAAAUUUCAAUUAUUUCACAUUAUUUUAUAGAGCACUAGAACUCCGUCUAUGUCUUACAUGGCCGGUCCCAAGCCCGGAUAAAGGAGGAGGGGGAGGGCGUCAGGUAGUCGACAGCCGGCACUCCAUGAUCACGUCGAAUCCUUAUGAAAAUGAAUCCAGAACAAAAUCGCGCUAAAGCUAGGGCGUCACCCGUAAGUGGCGCGCUGUGUGGCCUGAGCACAGUGAUAAGUGAGCAAGGGUCGCUGUAUAAAAAAUCGCAGACGAUAUAGUGUUGAUAGAUGAAACUCAGGAAGGGGUAAAUGCAAAGCUUAACCUUUGGAGAGAAGUGUUGGAAUCUAAAGGUCUUCGCCUAAGCCGAUCAAAGACAGAAUAUAUGGAGUGCAAGUUCAGUGCAAAUGGAGGCCAAAACGAGUUAGGGGUGAGGAUCGGAGAUCAAGAAAUGCCAAAGAGCGACCGUUUUCGUUACCUAGGAUCUAUCUUGCAAAAGAACGGAGAAUUAGAUGGAGAUCUCAACCAUAGAAUACAAGCUGGAUGGAUGAAGUGGAAGAGUGCAUCCGGCGUGUUGUGUGUGACCGCCGUAUGCCACUGAAGCUCAAGGGAAAAUUUUAUAGGACGGCAAUAAGGCCGGCGAUGCUGUAUGGCACAGAAUGUUGGGCGGUGAAACAUCAACACGUACACAAAAUGGGUGUAGCGGAGAUGAGGAUGCUUCGUUGGAUGUGUGGGCACACGAGAAAGGAUAAGAUUAGGAAUGAGGAUAUCCGGGGUAAAGUAGGAGUAGCCGAAAUUGAAGGAAAGAUGAGAGAAAAUCGGUUACGGUGGUUUGGACAUGUGCAAAGAAGGCCUACUGACGCUCCGAUUAGAAGAUGUGACUAUGGGACAGAGGUUCAGGGCCGAAGGGGUAGAGGAAGACCUAGGAAAACUUUGGAAGAGACUCUAAGAAAAGACUUAGAGUACUUGGAUCUAACGAAGGACAUGACACAGGAUCGAGCACAAUGGCGUUCUAAGAUUCAUAUAGCCGAUCCCAUUCAGUGACUUGGAUUUUCCAAGUCUCCAACCGAGAAGUUUUCCUCACUCGGGAAAUUAAGGGAACACUACCCCAACCUACAUGCUCCACUCAGAAAGCUUCAACAUACAAGCUUCAACAAAAGAAAAUUCAAAGAACUUAGCGAAGAAGGCUUUGGUGUAUUUAACACAAUACGUUGAAAUGAAGGAAAGCUUAUUUAUUGAUAUCCCCGAUAAGCUACAAAUAUGUACAUAUACAUGAGUCAAAAUAAACACACAAGAGGGAGCCUUCACAAAGGUUGCUUAGGAGAAGUCUGAGCAGUCGGUAGAGCCCCAGAAAGAGAAGGCACCGGAGGGGGAUCAUUUGGAGCCUCAGUACUGGACAGAACCCUAGAAGGAGGAGGCAUCAGAGGUUGAUCAUUUGGAGCUUCAUUACGCGGUACAGCCCCAGAAGACGAAGGCAAUAAAUGCCUUUGGAACAAACCCACAAAUCUCUGAUGAUCAAGUAAAACCUGACCAUCAGUUUCCUUCAUCUGGUCAAGCUUCCUCUUCAUGUUUGUAGCAUAGUCAUGUGCGAGCCGGUGCAACUGUUUAUUCUCAUGCUUGAGCCCUUUAAUCUCCUGUUUGAGACUCAUCACUUCAGCCGCCAAUGAUUCAACUUGGCGGGUUCGAGCAAAUAGGCGUUGGGCCAUAUUAGACACAGAACCUGCACACUGAACACUGAGAGCCAGCGAAUCCUUAACAGCUAACUCAUCAGACCGUUUGGAAAGUAGUCUGUUAUCUUUGGGAGUGAGAAGGUUCCUGGCCACCACCGCAGCGGUCAUAUCAUUCUUCAUCACGGAAUCCCCAACGGUAAGAGGACCAGUAGGGGAGACGAAGGAUGGGCGCCAUAUGUUGUCUGGAGAAGGCGGGGCUGCCUCUUCAACAAGGUUCAAGUCAAAACGACGGUCGGAGGGGCCAGACAUUUUCAAAGGUGUUGAAGAGAGAAGAGGUCGGACAAAUCAAGAUCUUAGAAGUGCAAGAAUGAAGCUUCUACUGGUGGAGAUUCAAGUGUGCUUUAGAACUUAAUGCCAGCCCCUAUAAAAAUCUACACUCGACGGAGCUUCAGAAAUCGAAGAGGCGCCUGCUCAGAAAUCGAAGAGGCGUUUGCUUUCUCAAAAGCUGAGCUGCUUAGAGAUCACGAGGGUUGAUCUCAGAAAUCGAAGAGGCUUUUGCUUUCUCAAAAGUUGGGCUGCUCAAAGACCACGAAGGCCGAUCUCAGAAAUCGAAGAGGCGCUCGCUUUCUCAAAAGCUGGGCUCCCUAGAGACCACGAGGGCCGAUCUCAGAAAUCGAAGAGGCACCUAUUUUUCCAGCCUUGUCAGCACCUGUCACACGCACACUCAGCUUUGCGGAAAUUAUGGGCAUUCUGUCGAAGACUUCUGGGGAAGUAGAAAACACAUGAAUCUUACUGUUCAAUCACCCACUUCCCACACGCAACAAUAGCUCAUGGGUACCACAGAUAACUUUGCCAAAGUUCUCUGCCAAAGUUGAGCACGUGAAGCUUGCAGCUCCCACUACAUCGCUCUGACCAAGAAGGGUAAAAGAAUAGCAAAGAAACAGCACUAACAAAGUUUAGACCCAUAAAUUUUGAAGGUCUAGCUACCAUAUUAUUACCCACAAGGGUAAAGGAACAGUACCACUGCUGGAUAAUUGGAAAGUCCCUGUGUGUCAACCUCUGUGCUUCGUGGCAAGGUAGACUAGCAAACAUGCCCAAUCUUUACUCACAUUCGAGAAAACACUCCCAAUAAGAUUGCUUGCUCCAAAAUCGAAGAGGCACCGUCCUCCGAAUCUCGAGAGAGCCAGACUCCCAACAUGACUACUUUAUUAAAAAUCGAAGAGAGGGUAAAGGAACAGUACCAUUGCUGGAUAAUUGGAAAGUCCCUGUGUGUCAACCUCUGUGCUUCGUGGCAAGGUAGACUAGCAAACAUGCCCAACCUUUACUCACAUUCGAGAAAACACUCCCAACAAGAUUGCUUGCUCCAAAAUCGAAGAGGCACCGCCUUCCGAAUCUCGAGAGCCAGACUCCCAACAUGAUUACUUUCUCAAAAAUCGAAGAGACACUGCUCCCCGAAUCUUCGAGAGCCAAACCCCCAGCAUGAUUGUUUUCUCAAAAAUCGAUGAGGCAUCGUUCUCCGAAUCAAUCGAAGAGGCGCUCGCUUUUCUCAAAAAGCUGGGCUGCUCAGAGACCACGAGGGCCGAUCUCAGAAAUCGAAGAGGCACCUACUUUUCUAGCCUUGUCAGCACCUGUCACACGCACUCAGCUUUGCAGAAAUUAUGGGCAUUCUGUCGAAGAUUUCUGGUGAAGUAGAAAGCACAUGAAUCUUACUGUUCAAUUACCCACUUCCCACACGCAACAAUAGCUCAUGGGUACCACAGAUAACUUUGUCAAAGUUCUCUGCCAAAGUUGAGCACGUGAAGCUUGCAGCUCCCCCACUACAUCGCUCUGACCAAGAAAGGUAAAAGAAUAGCAAAGAAACAGCACUAACAAAGUUUAGACACAUAAAUUUUGAAGGUCUAGCUACCAUAUUAUUACCCACAAGGGUAAAGGAACAGUACCACUGCUGGAUAAUUGGAAAGUCCCUGUGUGUCAACCUCUGUGCUUCGUGGCAAGGUAGACUAGCAAACAUGCCCAACCUUUACUCACAUUCGAGAAAACACUCCCAACAAGAUUGCUUGCUCCAAAAUCGAAGAGGCACCGUCCUCCGAAUCUCGAGAGCCAGACUCCCAACAUGACUACUUACUCAAAAAUCGAAGAGAGGGUAAAGGAACAGUACCAUUGCUGGAUAAUUGGAAAGGCCCUGUGUGUCAACCUUUGUGCUUCGUGGCAAGGUAGACUAGCAAACAUGCCCAACCUUUACUCAAAUUCGAGACAACACUCCCACAAGAUUGCUUGCUCCAAAAUCGAAGAGGCACCGCCCUCCGAAUCUCGAGAGCCAGACUCCCAACAUGAUUACUUCCUAAAAAAUCGAAGAGACACUGCUCUCCGAAUCUCGAGAGCCAGACCCCCAGCAUGAUUGCUUUCUCAAAAAUCGAAGAGGCAUCGUUCUCCGAAUCUCGAGAGCCAGAUACCACAGACCACUUUUUCAAAGUGCUCUGACAGAGUUAAAACAUGUGAAACUGACAGCUCCCACUACCGUGCUAUGACCAAGCAGGGUAAAGGAAUAGCAUUACUACUUGUUGUUAGGGAGACGCCUAUAUAUGUCAACCUCCAUCCCCAACGGACAGGCAGACCUGCAAAAAUGCUCAACCUUUCAUCAUAUCUGAGAGGGCACUCCCAACGAAGCCUUUCGAAAUAUUCAGCUUUCUUUCCCCCCGAUAAUACCUCUGCAAACAAGCUAUACUAGAGCAAGAAUAUCUCAUAUCAUCAGGGUUAAAAGCAAGAGUAUCCCAUAUCAUGCUUUUUCCCUGUCUUUUCCUUUGGCCUUGUUUUUACCUGCAAGACAAGGAGAAAGAGAGCAAUCAGUCAGCACUUGGAAUCAAGCUUCCAGCCAGGAACUGACUGCCUGGAACCCCUUACCUGAUUACUUACCUGGCAUUGCUCUCGAGUACUCAUCUUCAACAUCUUAUGUUUCCAAGGAAGAUUCCGCAUCUGCUUGAGGAACAGAUAGGGCAAGUGCGAAGGAUACAAGGAAGCAUGUGGAGACAAGCGUAACAGCACACGUGCCGAUACAUCCAUUACUCUGUCAAAAGCAAAAGUAUCCCAUAUCAGCAGGGUGGAACGUACUCUAGAUUUGAUGGACUUGUUUUGACCCUCAAAUUCUUCAGUCGGCCUUAUACUCUGGAGGAAACCAGAAAACCCUCCAGCUUAGUUCAAGAAUAAGCCUGUGGAAAGUUACUUCUUCAAAAGCAAAAGUAUCUCAUAUCAUCUCUUCUCAUUUUUCUUCUCUUUAUCCUUCAUGCUGUUGCAAGAUGGGGAGAAGGUGAACAAUCAGUCGGAGCUCUGAUUGCUUACCUUGUCUGUCACCUCUUUCAGCAGACCCCCUAGCUCGGCGACUUGGGGGACUCCUACUACAUGGUUUGUAUCGCGCUUGACCAAGCCUGAAACUACAAGUAAGUUUCAAGUGAAAUUGAUACAUUACCUUGUGCAUCUCCACCAGUUAAAGAUACCACCCCUGGAUGGAGGAAAAGUACUUCCAGAGAAGAUGCCACAUCUACCUAUGAGACAGAUAAGGCAAGUCAAGACGACACCACACUCCGAUACUUAGAACUUUCGUGAUUACGAGAUCAUUCUCCCACAAUAUUUCCUAAUGUCAUUUGUACUAAAUCAUUCACUUGUACUCACUAAAGGAGAGCUUGAACCUAUGUACUUGUGUAAACCCUUCACAAUUAAUGAGAACUUUUCUAUUCCGUGGACGUAGCCAAUCUGGGUGAACCACGUACAUCUUGUGUUUGCUUUCCUAUCUCUAUCCAUUUAUAUACUUAUCCACACUAAUGACCGGAGCAAUCUAGCGAAGAUCACAAAAAAGCGACCGUUUUCGCUACCUAGGAUCUAUCUUGCAAGAGAACGGAGAAUUAGAUGGAAAUCUCAACCAUAGAAUACGAGCUGGAUGGAUGAAGUGUAAGAGCGCAUCCGGCGUGUUGUGUGACCGUCGUAGGCCACUGAAGCUCAAGGGAAAAUUUUAUAGGAUGGCAAAAAGGCCAGCGAUGUUGUAUGGCACAGAAUGUUGGGCGGUGAAGCAUCAACACGUACACAAAAUGGGUGUAGCGGAGAUGAGGAUGCUUCGUGGGAUGUGUGGGCACACGAGAAAGGAUAAGAUUGGGAAUGAGGAUAUCCGAGGUAAAGUAGGAGUAGCCGAAAUUGUAGGAAAGAUGAGAGAAAAUCGGCUCCGGUGAUUUGGACAUGUGCAAAGAAGGCCGACUGACACUCCGGUUCGAAGAUGUGACUACGGGACAGAGGUUCAGGGCCGAAGGGGUAGAGGAAGACCUAGGAAAACUUUGGAAGAGACUCUAAGAAAAGACUUAGAGUACUUGGAUCUAACGGAUGACAUGACACAAAACCGAGCGCAAUGGCGUUCUAGGAUUCAUAUAGCCGACCCCACUUAGUGGGAAAAGGCUUUGUUGUUGUUGUUGUUGUAUUUUAUAGAGCACUAGGACUCACGUAGGCACAUCCGAAGAUUGCUCUCAAUCUAUUUCUUUCUUAAAUAAAAAUUUCAGUAGUUUGUGCCUUGUGGGGUUGGAAAGAAUUCAUUUUUAUGUAGCAGUUAAUUGGGAGUUAUAGAUGGUUGUCACUUCUUUCACCACCCAAUUUUAACCUUUUGUGUUUCAUCUGAGCAGUUGACAGACUUUGGGCUUUCGAAGGUUGGUCUCAUCAACAGCACUGAUGAUUUAUCUGGUCCAGCAGUUAGUAGAACAUCCCUUCUAGGGGAAGAUGAACCCGAAUCAUCUCUCUCCGAGCAUCAACGAGAAAGCCGAAAGAAACGUUCUGCUGUCGGUACACCUGACUAUUUGGCACCAGAGAUACUUUUGGGAACAGGACAUGGUUCGUAUAGUCUUUUCUAAGUUUAAGGUGCUAUUAUUUCCUUUAUUGUGUUUUAAAACUCUCCAACCUUAGGUUAAGCUUCAACAUCAAGAAAGAAAUACUAAUUAUUCAGUAAUGUUCAACUAUGGGCUAAAAUGGUUUCAUCAUUAUUCAUUGGUACGGUUUAGUCUUUCAUGGAAGCUGAAACAAUGUUUAAGGGCAACCAACCAUAAUGCUCUUGUUUUCCCUGAUUUUCCCCACACAUCUAGCUGUUCUCUUAUUUGGUUGAUCACUAUUUAAGUAUUUAAGGGCGCAACCAUUGUGCUCUAGUGUUUUUGCCAAAUAGCUUUCUGUUCUGUUUAUUGGUUGAUCAGUUAACCGUUGUAAGAUUAACAACUUGCUGCUGUUUUAUGGUCCACAGGUGCAACUGCAGAUUGGUGGUCUGUUGGUGUCAUUUUAUUUGAAUUGAUUGUUGGAAUUCCACCCUUCAAUGCUGAGCACCCUCAGGUUAAUACGUUGCCUCUAAAAUAUGUUAUAAUAGUAAUACAUAGGCUUGGUGUUUACUCUGUUUACAACAAAAAUUGUUUGUGAUUCCAUAGUUUGUUUAAGUUCUAAAUCGCUUCUUUUAACCAUUUUCUUCUUUUGCUUGUAGACUAUAUUUGAUAAUAUUCUCAACCGUAAUAUACCUUGGCCUGGGGUUGGUGAGAUGAGUCCUGAAGCACGAGAUCUUAUUGAUCAGUAAGUGAAGCAUUAACAAUCUUUUUAUGCAACGUUAUUGCUUUCAAAGAUAUAUUUUGUCAUUGCUUUGCUUAGGAGGAAAUAUUUGUUUCUGUCGAAGUUAGAAUCUCCAUGAAGUUGAUCAUUUGUCAGUUUGUGUGGAGAUCAAGGGAUGUAUCUGACUGGAAUUAAAACCUGUCAAUUAGCCAAUUGGUUGCUCUGUUUUGAUCUAGUUUUGAGAUACUCGUCUUAAUAUUCUUAAACUUCUCCGUACUUUUGCUUAAAGUUAUGAACCCAUCACUUAUGGUUUCAGUUCGCAGAAACUCUGUUCUCAUUUUGCUAAGAAGCCUAGACGUAGAAUACCAAUUUGUAUCAAAUUUGUUAAAUUGUUCUAUGAAUCUGUAAAACAAAUCUUAGAUUUUGACUGAAUUUGUGUUCCUGUUUAAGGUUCAGUAUGUUCAAACAUGUAUAUAUGCUGAUGUCGAGUGAUAGUAUGUAGUUGUGAUGUUUGUUUAGUUGAUGCUGAUACAAAUAGUUUCUAGGUUAUUGACAGAAGAUCCUAAUCAAAGACUUGGAGCUCGAGGAGCAUCAGAGGUAUUUGUUAGUUUAGUUUCUUUAUUCUUUUUCAUUAUUUUUAGUGCGUGAUCUUUCAAACUUCUUCAAUAAACUUAAUAGAAUUGCAACUUUGUGAUACAGGUGAAGCAGCAUCCAUUCUUUAAAGACAUCAACUGGGACACACUUGCCAGGCAAAAGGUGCGCUGCAACAUAUUCAUAAAUCAUAAACAUGUAGAUACAGAUUUUUCAUCUUCGGUUAGGUUGGCACCACCGCACCACUCCCUUAUGACUUUUCCAUUUCUUGCAGGCUGCGUUUGUUCCCUCUUCAGAGAGUGCACUAGAUACCAGUUACUUCACCAGUCGUUACUCAUGGAAUCCUUCAGAUGAACAUGUAUAUCAACCUAGUGACAUGGAUGAUUCCAGUGAUUCUGAUAGCUUAAGUGGCAGCAGCAGUUGCUUGAGCAACCGUCAUGAGGAAGUGGUACGUUAGUUCAAGAAACAAGCGCUUUUAACUACUGAUGCGAAUAUAUUUUGUAUUUGCCGUAUAUCCAUAUAAUUCACAGCACUGACAUGAUCUUGGGCAACGUUCAUUGACAGGGUGAUGAAUGUGGGGGUCUGACAGAGUUCGAGUCUGGCUCUUCUAUCAAUUACUCUUUCAGUAAUUUCUCAUUUAAGGUAUUUCUUUACUUACAAGGCUGUCGUUUCUUUUAUUAUCUCUAAAAUGACCACUCAAGGUGCUUAUACUGUAAUUGAUCUUGAGUUUGUCUUCAUGAAUAGCGUGUUUGAUGCCAUGUUCGAUAGAUUUCCACUGUGAAUGUUGUUGAGCCGUAUUUCAAUAUAAUUUUCACCUUUUCCUAAUAUAUAAUCUUACUAUAUUUUCUUAUGAUCGUGGUCCAGAAUCUCUCCCAGCUUGCAUCAAUCAACUAUGAUCUGCUUUCAAAGGGUUUCAAGGAUGAUCGGUCACUGAAUCCCAGCACGUAGCAAGUUGCUCCCGGUUGUCAAAAGCCGGGAUUAGGGUUCUAGCAGUUAAAUGAUUUGGGCUUGUUUUUUGGGGCCUAAACACCUCAUCGGUGUUUGUAUACCCUGUACAUAUGAUCUCCGAUCGGUUUUUCUCUUUUUCUUUUAUAGUAUGUGCAGUUGAGCAAUUUGGGUGAUGAAUCUGCACCUGCCGAAACUGGUUCGGAAUGUGCUCUUUGCUCUCAUAGGUUACUUCUCCGCCGCAGGGGAGGCGAUUUUACGGUCGAGUAGUCUUUUGUAUCGUGAGGAAUUUGAUGUAUCCUAAUUCAUAUCCCCUGUGCUGGUUGAGCUUGAGUAUUUUUGUCACCAGUCGGUUUUCGCCAUGGCAAUGUGAAAACACAUCCGUUUCUGUUCCAAAUUGCCUUGUAUCUUGUUUUACUCGAUUUUCGAAAAUCUUUCUUGCUUCACACGCUACACAUACGAUGGGUGUUUCCGAGUUAUAACUCAUGCAAUGCAGCAUAAAACUUUCCAAAACUAAUUCAAAAUCGUUAAGUCUUCGUGACAUGUACCACUUUUUUGUGCCCUAUAUGUAAUUUUUAUGAAACUUGGAUGUGGGUGUUCGAAGGGUAUUUUUAAAAUUUAAUCAAAUUGACCUUCAAUCUUAUAUCUAACUAGCUCCUAGCUCCUUAGCCCUCGCUCGCGCAUGUGCUAUAUCAAUCAGUAACAUGUAUCAUUUAAGCUGUAUUUGUGUUUUGAAUUUAACUAUGUUCAGAAUUGAAGCAAAUCGAACAUAUAUCAUAUCCGCUUUUAGUGCAAGAUUGAAAAUCAAAUAGGUGAAUAGGUGUUUCCGUAAAAGAGUUGUCUAGAAGGUCUUGUUGAUAACUAUUACUAUGUGGAUUGUGGACGCAAGUUUCUUAAGACAAAACAUCAAAAAUGUGUAUUAACUUAUUACACAUAGGUUAUUAAUUGUCAAAAUUGGGAAUACAGUUUUGUUAUACAGACAAGAAAAACACUCCCAAAACUUUGGUGUCCUUUCUGGUCCAGAAGCUACCGUUACGAUUUUUUUAUUUAUUUUAUUUUAAAACGUGAGGAUGGGACAGCGCAAGCCUGGAACAAAAAUAUCCCAUACCGGAAAAACCAAAAUUUUGUUGUCUUUUUUUUAAAUUUUUUUUAACAAACGAUGUUAGUUACGAUUAAGACGGGCUUAGUCUUACAAUAUGCUAGCAAUAAUAUAGUUUAAAUUUACCUUUUGCAAGAGUCGAACCUAACACUUUUCACUUACAAGUGACGAAUAAUACUAUUAGAUCGUAAUACUAAGUGGCGCAGUCAACAAAAUUAAGCAUAUUUUUAAAUAAAUUCUGUUAUAGUUUGCUUUGGAUGCCAACUCCCAACAAAAUUAACCAUACCGAGGACCACUGCACCACUCUGUCUGCUUUUUUUUCACACUUCCUUCCCCCUUCACGGGCCUUCCACUUCAACUGCAAUAGUUUGGUCCACCACCAAGCUUUCAAUCGUCACCACAAAACCUCAAUAGGAACCGAACAUGACUGCAACGAUAUCUCACAUCACUCACGCAUUGUUAUAAAACUUUCUUCAUCCUCAUCUUCAUCACAAACCAUCACGUUACUUUCCCUCUUUCCCGAAUUCAAAUUUGUUGUAUCAUCCCACACAAGCAGGGGAUUCUUGCAAAACUAUAUCACGUAACAAGAGAGAUACAAAAACAUCCUCGGUCGUAUGGUAGAAUUUCAACAAAUGAGAAACAGAAAUUGGAAAAUGAUCAACGCAGGUCUGCUUAAUUUCACAAAACUUUGACCAAACCAUGAACAGACAUGAAGCAACCAACACAUCUUAACUUCGAGUAGCUAAAGAGUCGUAAUCAUAACAACAAAUACAGGCAAAGGCAAAGGCAAAGGCAAAGGCGGAAGUAAUAAUUACAGAAAAGAAAACCAUCAUCCACCAACAGCAAAUGGAACAGAUCUCCACCCCAAAAGGGCAGUUAGAAAAACUUGAGCAAUGGGGAACAAAGGGGUGAAUAAAAAUUACAGCAAGGAAUUUCCCUGCAAAUCCAUGAGGGAAGAUGGUCGAGGGGCCGUUGCCCUGAGCAACUCAACUCAACUCAUCGAGAAGACACAUCGUCCAAAUCAUGGACAACCUCGGGCUGCUCAUCUAGCAAGCUAGAACGACGUAGCUCCUCAAUGCGCCUUGUAACUUCGGAGAUUGAAGGGCGUUUGUCAGGGUACUGGGCUGAACAAUCUAUUGCAAGUUGCAAGAGCUGAACCAUCUCCUCCUCGACAUUCUGGUACCUGAGGAGCUCAAGAUCGAAAACCUCUGAAGUCCACUCCUCUUUGACUAUGGACUGAACCCAUCUUGGGAGGUCAACUCCUUCCUCAUUCAAGAGGGCAUGCGUUGGGGGCUUUCCGGUGAGUAGCUCCAGGAGCAACACCCCAAAGCUAUAAACAUCGGCCUUUUGGGAUACCUUGCGAGGAUCAGUAACCUCCGGUGCCCGGUAGCCAGCAACUCGGUUGGGAGUGGAUGAGGGGCCAACAAGGUGCGCUAGGCCAAAGUCAGAAACCCGAGCUUCAUAGGACUUUGUGAGCAGGAUGUUGGAUGACUUUAUGUUUCCGUGGGAGACAGUAUGACCUUGAGAGUGUAGGUAUUCAAUUCCACGGGCAGCUCCAAGGGCAAUGCCAGACCUGAUUUCCCAAUUCAAUGGAGUCCUACCUGCUCCUUUGUUUCCUGUAGAUUAAAGAUAGAACACAAGAUGGUAAAGCUCUUCUAUAUUAUUCUACCAUUGAAAGUACGCAUUGCCUUGACAUUGCUGAAAAGAUGGAAGUUGAAAACUUAUUGAUGUCACUCUUUGAAGAAAACUCAAAUGGGAAUACUGAACCAAAGAUCUAUGAAACGGAUUUGAAAUCAUCGCAAACUUCAGAUAAUUGUUGCAUAUAUAUAUAUAUAUGAAUAUACAGAACUGUUAAAUCAGGCAAAACAAAGUACCAACACAACUGAAAUAAGCAGCAUUGUAUAAAACUCGGAUGUAUCAACGCUAACAGCGGAAACAAGCACACAAAAAUGAGUAACACGGUGUUUGUGGAGACGCAAAAUUUUGUACACCAAAUCCUCAAACACAACUCAAAGAAACCAAUAACUUCUAAUCAUCCAGAUCAAAAAUCGGAAAAGAAAGGGCGAAAAGAUUGAAGCAAACGUCCCGAACUAGAGGAACUGAUGAUGUAUCAGGAAAAAAUCAUAUCCAUCAUCAUCAAAUUUCCAGCACAGAAAUAGAGUAACAACCAUCGAACCGAAAAGGCAGAGCAAUGUGUGAACAAAUAAAGCAAGCAAUCAAAUAGCAAGAAACACUGACCAUGCAAAAGUGCAGAUAAGCUUCCCAUAGGCAUGUAAUCAUAGACAAGAAGCUUCUCAUCUCUGCUGAAAUAAUAUGCCCUCAGAGGCACCAAAUUCUCAUGAUCCUUCGCUCCCACAGCCUCAAUCUUUUCCUUAAACUCGCUCUCAGAAAUCGUCACGUCCUUCAGCCUCUUCACAGCCACCACAGUCCCAGCCUCCAGAACCGCUUUGUACGCUGUCCCAAAAGUCCCCUUCCCCAAAACCUCCGCCGAAGCUCUCAACAAGUCCUCCAGAUCAAACACCCUCGCCGCAUUGCCAAAAAAGGCCAGCUUUUUAGCACCACUAGCGCCACCGGCUUCACUUUUGCCAUUCCCCACCAUCGCCGCAGCGGCAGCAUCCGCCACCGAAUGCCCAUUUCCAUAUCCUCCAUUCUCAGACUCCACGGGCAGCUUCUCGCCAGGAAUCUCGACUUCCCGGUGCUUCACGGUGGCAAUGUCGACGGAGCUCGUCUUCUUGCUCUUCUUCUUUCGGCAGAAAAAGAUCAAAAACAUAACAAUCACGAGAAAAGCCAACACAGAUCCGAUCACAAUACCGGCAAUAGCACCACCGGAAAGCUUUCUCUUUUUGUGGUGGUCAUUGAUGUUUAUAUCCCCUCCUAUGGCAGGAUUGGCAGCUCCGCCACGGUCUCCAGGACAAGCAUUAAGGGGACGCCCGCAUAGAGAAUUACCCAGAAACGAGCUCGAAGAGUAAGACUGCAACUGUUUUGGAACAGACCCGUUUAGCAAAUUGUUGGAUACAUUGAACUGGUCGAGAUUGGGCAGCUUCAGCUCCGGGAUCGCCCCCGAAAGCUUGUUGCUUUCGAGAUACAAAGUCCUGAGCCUGGUGAGAUUGUUGAAACCCAGAGAGAUCUCACCGGAAAAAUUGUUGGAGGCCAAGUUCAGCCGGACCAAGUCGUGCAGACUGUACACAAACUCCGGGAUUUCGCCGGAGAAAAGGUUGCCCUGCAAGUAAAGGUUACGAAGAGUAACGCAGGCAGAGAGAUCUGAAGGCAGAGGACCUCUUAAAGCGUUGAGACGGAGACUGAGAGUGCGGAGACUAGUCAGAUUUCCGAAAAUGCCACUGGGGAUUAUGCCGGAGAGAGCCACGCCGGGAAGACGAAGCACCGUGACGCGGUUGUUCUCACAGCUGACGCCUGUCCACAAACAUGGGCUGGUCUGGCUCACAUCCCAUAGCAGAGUUCGGCCGCCGACGGCGGAGCGCAGGGCUAGCAGAGCGGCGCGGUCAGAAGCCAGAUCUGGUCUUGCAAUGGGGAGCAAAACCAGCAGGGAGAAGAGGAAAAGGGACAGCCUUUGGCUUGGGGAAUGCAUUUUGGUGGAAACCCAGAUGGUGUUUUUGGUGAAUUGGGUAGGGGGUUUGGAUUUCUGGGGUUUCAAAGUUCAUACAUUGUUUUGGUUUAUGGGUCUCAGAGGAGGAGAGAGAGAGAGAGAGGAGAGAGUGCUAUGGGAGCUGCAUUUCCUCUUUUCUUUUUGGCCCUUUUUGUUGGCCUUCUGGUUUCCCUUGAGGAGAGAGAAAGAAGAGAGAGAGAGAGAUAGUACAGGCUGUGAGGUGGACACUAAAAUAUGGAAAGAAAAAAGUAAAGCAGAGAGAGUGAGAAACCCUAGCUGUAUGCAGUGACAGUGAGGAAGAGGGAGGAGUGAGAAACUUUUCAUUGUUACGGGAAUACGGUAAUACAUCACGUGUUUUUACAUAAGUAGUGAAAUUUUUUAUUUUUUAAAUUAUUAAUUUUUAACACAUAAAUCUCACAAUUUAUAUAAUAACAGAUAAUAUAUCAUCUUUUGUUUCGAUUACACUGAAAAUUCUCUCGGAGGAGUGGGAACCUGGCGGGUGGUAGUCAACUGUCAUUUACUAUUUAUCCUUUGCUUUUUUGUCUUUUUCUUUUUUUUUUUACUGGAUAAUUUUUUAAUCUUUUUCUUUGUUUUUUUCUCCCCCUAUUUUGAUUUUACAUGUGUGACAGUUAGAUAGGUUUGUUUGUUUUCUGAUAUUUUGUUAUUAUUUAUUUAAGAAAUUGGCUUUUUGUGUAUUUGGAUUUUUUUUUCUAUGGUGGAUGGUAUUGAGAUCAAAUUGCCAAAUUUUCCCUUAGCUUAUCUAUAUUCCCCUUCAAUUGUUUUAACAUUGUUGCGAGUGUGACUUCAAUACUACAUGUAAUAAGAUAAUCAUAUCUACCUCAUUGUUGUAUAUAAGAAAAGAGUUAUGCUAUCCAUAUACUGAUUUUUACUUCUUAUACAUCUUUUUCAAUUUUCAGUCGUCUGAUCAAAUAAUAAAUCAAAGAAGAUCAAUGAUAAAAAAUUAACAAAAGUGUGUGAGAGAUAAAAAUUAAUACGCAAAUAGCACUUUUCAGAAGAAAACUACUACAUCAUUUUGUUUUGGUCUAUAAGGCUUCAACAAUUUGUCAUCCACCUAUAAUAUGAAGAUCAAUAUCGUGGAGCCAUUACGUUUAACAAACAAGGAGACAUCUAAAUAAGAUUGAACAAGCCCAAAUUAAGAAGAUGAGUUGGAGAUAUCCUUUAGCUACAAAUCUGGCUUUAUGUCGUGAAAUGGAUCCAUUGACAUUCUUGUUUAAUUUAAAAAAUAAAUGCCUCUUUUUAGAUAUAUCAGCCUUGGAUCUUGUCACCAUGAUAGGAUAAGAUGAUGAAUAUGUCAAAAUAAAAGUUGAUAAGGAGAUUUCAUACCAAUGUUUGCGGAAGGCAUUCUAUUAAUCAACAAGUUCGCCGUGGAACAUGCAUGGCACCAAAAUUUGAGUGCUAACAAAGUUGUAGGCAACAAGUUCAUUCUAGUUUUCAUAAGAUGACAAUGUUUGCUUUCAGUCAUCUCAUUUUGUUGUCGAGUGUAUAGCGAUAACUAGAAAUGGCAACAUAUGGGGUAGGCCUUCCUUCAUACAUCAGAAUGCACCUUAUGAAAGAGCUCACUAGCUCUAUUAGGCUAUUAGUAGAAGAAAGAAAUGGUAAACGAGACAUUUUACCAUGUAAAAUAUAUCAACUAAUAAAUAUAAUUUCUAAAAUUAUCAAAAUAAAUUCCAAUAGUCCCACUUGUUGAGUAAAAAAAUAAAGAAACGAUUCUUUCGGACUUAUGCCCGUUGUCAGUUAAAAAAAAAUUCUUUCAGGCUUAUGCCUAGUUGUCAAUAAAAAAACAAACAAAUUUGUAAUGAUUAAAAGCGUAGGCCUGGAUUUUUUUUUGGGGAUUUUGAAAUGAUAUUGUCCUUUUUUGGGGUUAGAAAAUAGAUAUAAUAUAAGUGCACUUUUAAGACCCAUAUGGCCAUUUGUAUUUUAAUCACAAUGGCCUAAUUAUUCAGUCCAUUAGCAACUUGGCACAAUUAAGCUGUUAUUAUCAGGGUGGCAUUGAACCACUUGCAAAUUCAAUUCAACAGAAAAACCAGCAUACCCACUUAGAAAUGCAAAACACUCAAUUAGUUUUCUUCUCCAAUGUCAGUAAGUGGAUAAAAUUAUCGAAUAAUGCUUGGCUACUGAAAGAAUAGCAGCAUGUCAUGUUGGACUUAAUUGAAAUAGAUACGUGCUCAUUUGUUUGGAGUGAUAUUGGUUUAAGUUUUUAAUUUUUUAAUUGCUUAGGCACGUGUCCAUUUGUGAUCGGGCACUUGUUCAUUUCAGCAGGUUUUGCUGCUUUUUUUUUCAGCAACCAAGCAUUAUUCCAAAUUAUCCUCAGUUUAUUGAUAUAACUCAUUUAUGCAUUCAUUUUAGUACCGAGUUGUAAUUUAUCUGUAAAAGAGAUGUUUUGGAUUUUCUGAUUGUUAAGCAUAAGAGUAAUAACAAAUAUGUACUCUUUUUAUUUAAAUAGGAAAGAAAUACAUUACAAAGAGAUAGACCCUUUAAGGAAAGAGAUUCUCAAUAUUAGAUGUGGGACCCAUUCUACAUGGAACUUCAAUGAUUCCAACAUUCUAUUUAGUAAGUCUCGAUUCAUAGAUCAUUUUUGCAAAAAUUUAACUCAAUUCAAAACCAAUUGCCUAUUUAAUCAUCACAAUGAAGUUUCAUUGUUUCUUAUAGAAUAAAGUGUUAGUUAAUUUCUUUGAACUCAAUUAAAUGUCUUAAAUAUUUCCGAUUUGGCUAAUAUUUUGCAAGGAUGAUUAAAGAGGUACAACUUAAAAAAUAAACUGUUUGGAUCGUUGAAAUUCAAUGUGGUGUGAGCCCCAUAACUAAUCCCCAUCUGAAAAAAAAAAUAGAAAUCAUUUUCCUUAAAAUCUCCUACAAAGAGAACCCUGAGCAACUAAAAUUACAAAAAUCUCAAAGCCAAGCUAAUUUCUUCUUAAUAUGUAAGUCCUUUUUUAUUUUUUUGGAAGAAUGGAUAAUAUAUAACCAGGGCAAAGAUGCCAAACUACAACUAAAGCCCACAACGAGGCAAUCAACCAAAACAAACUCGGAAGUGCAAGGGGAAGAAGAAACCCGACACUAAAAGGAAACAACUAGCGUCACCCCUUGCACAACCGGACACACUUAAUGUGGGCAAGGUAGUCCAUCAUUGUUUAGUACAUGAACAAGUGAAGAUGGGGAUCGUUUGACCCAAGUAAAGUCAUACAUCUCCACACAACUCCGCAACACCAAAUAGUCAGCCGCCAUAUUGGCUAAUCUUGGAAUCCAAGACCAGCAGCAGUCAUGGAAGGAAUUCCCAAUUUUCUUGCACUUCGCUAAGGUUGGAAACUCCUCCCAUCUGCCAUUUGCCAAGGAAUCAGAUUCCACAACCACAAGAUUUAGUCCCAAGGAUUGACCCACCUCACAUCCCCGCAUAAUGGCUAACGCCUUAGUAGCCGCCGCACUAGGGGCAUGAAGACGAAAUCUGCAAGCAGCAAUGAAACUACCAACAAAGUUCCUCACCACCACCCCAAUAAAACCCCCUUUCGUAGCAGUUACCCAACUAGCGUUAACAUUGAUUUUGACAUAUGGAUGGCAUGACAUUUGCCAUCUCUCCUGCAUAGGAUUACUAAGACUGCACUGCACCAUACUUCUCUGCAUCAUACUCUCUAUGGGAAUCCAGGAAGCCUUCCUGAAAUCCCUGACAUUUGUAAAAAUUGAAGCCAACACCUGAGAAUGGAUGAUAGGCUUCAGUUGGAAUAGGAAACAACACCUAGCCUUCCAAAUAUGCCAACAAGAGAACGCUACCUAAGUCAGGAUCCUUUCUCUGUCAACUUUCAAACCCUCACAGGCCCUGAUGAUAGCCAAUAUCCAUUGCGUCCAUGUGGUGAUCUCUUCCCGAUUUACCUUGUAGUUUAGGAUUCCACCAAACCAAAUAGUUUCCACCUAUGGGCAAAGGAGAAUAAGGUGUUCAAUCGUUUCCUCUUGAGUGUUGCAUAAGGGGCAGAGGGGGGAUGAGGUGGAUUUCCUGCGGUAAAGGGCUGCCAUAGUAGCCAGGGCGUUAUGCACAAUUUUCCACAUAAAACAUCUUAUUUUUUAAGGGGUUUUAAGUUGCCACACCAAUUUCCAUAACGCCACUGGGAUGGUAAGAGACGAUGACGAUCUAGAAUUUGUCUGUGGGAUCCCUCGAGAGUUCACCCAAUGGUAGCCCGACUUGAUAGAAUAAAUCCCCCGCUUAUCAAAUGGCCAUAUUAACAUGUCCCUGAGCUCGGGGUCACCAAGAUGGGUUGCCAAGAUUGCCUCAUACUCCACUCACGAUAUAAAUGGUUUUAAGAAAUCAAUAUCCCACUCACCACUUACUGGAUUAAUUAAUGAAGCCACUUUGGUGUUGUGACUUACUUUCACUGGUCCAGAAGACCAGGUGUCCACCCGGGAGGGAAGGCAACCACCUAUCACCCCAAACCUGAAUCUCCUUCCUGCACAAGACUUGCCAAUGAGUCCUCCGUAACAAAAGAUCACGCCCCCAUAAGUAGACUCGACCACCCCCAGGAUGCACGUCCGCCCUGUUUAGCAUCCAAGAAAGAACAAUGGGGGAAGUACCAAGCCUUCAGAACCUUUGCCCAAAGUGAGUCCGGUUCAUGGAUGAGCCACCAACAUUGUUUCGCCAAGAGAGCAUCAUUAAAAUCCAUGAAGGAUCGAAACCCGAGUCCCCUCAUCGCCUUGGGAAGGCCGAGAGUAUCCUUGGAGACCCAAUGAAUGUUUUUCCUCUCCUUUUCCUGUCCCCACCAAAAAUUAGAAAUCAAAGUCCAUUUCCUUGCAAAUGGUAGCAGGAAAUUUGAAAAGGUUCAUCGGGUAGGCCGGGAUAAGUCUUUUCGUACACUUUAAGCUGCAUUGGAUACUAUUAUUUGAAAAGGGCAGACUUACCAACAGUAUAAUUGUCCAUGUUGAAGAUAAUCAGCUUACUUUUUUCAAAAGCCAAAACUUGAAGUUUAUGACAAAACAAAAUGUCGAUUUGAGGUUGACGAUUUGGCAGUGGCACUGCUUUGCUCAGGUUAUAAUCUAAUAGCGACGCAUAUUGUAUUUGCCAAAAGUUAAAAUAUUCCUAAUCUUUGUGUUUUGAGUGUUUCAUUUUCUAUUUCUUAGAAAGAUUUUUAAUGUACCAAAAAUACAGCUCGGUAAUGAAAAAUUAGUUAGAAGUUUUUAAUUUUUUUUUUUUAACAAAUUGUAUUAUGACACUUAAUGUAUCAGAUCUUGUUCAACACACUGAAAAAUUUCUCAGUUGAGAUUGAGAUCAUUCCUGGGUUGUCGGAUAUUGUAAGCAAAGGGUAAAAUAAUACACUAACUAUAUUGUAAUAGUCAAGACAUAUUAUUUGGCCAAAAACAAAAUUAAAGUAUAAAAUAUUAUUUGAAAGAUGAGUGUACAAUACCAAAGUAGUACUAAUACUUGUAUAAAAACACCGUAGUACUAUCCAAAAGAAAGAAAUACAUACAUUAUAAUAAUCAAGACAUAAAUCAUGGUGGACAACUACGAACUGAAUUGAAUGGUAGUUUUUUGGUGUCGUACGAUUACACGUGAAUUAAUAAUAAUCUCAUUAAGUGGUAAUUGAAUCUUCUCAGUAAAAAGUUUCUUCAAGUAAUUAAACAUCUGAAAAAAAUAGAAAAAGAAAAAAGAAUUUGUCUAGUUGAUUGGCUAUUUCUUAAUUAACACUUGCUGGUGAUGUAAAACAGAUUAAUUAGUCCUAACACGUUUGAUUUGGUUUUGGUCACUGUGAGCCGUCGGAUGCAUUAACAUGAUUGCCGCAAGAGCCACCGACGAUUCAUACUGUUGGGGUGGUGGGAUGAAAUGUCUUACUCAGGUCCACGUUGGAAGAAUAUAUAUAUAUAUAUAUAUAUAUAUAUAUAUAUUAUAUGUUACCAAUUUUCUUAUUUUUGGGUUGAAAUAAUUAAAUUUGGAUUAAGACUACCAAUUUGCAGGUAUACAUUUCGAAUUAUAUAGUUCGAAUUAUAUAAUUAAAGUUCCCUAUUAAAAAUCUAUUACCAAAGAAUCCAUUUAUUCUUUUCAAAUGAUAUAGUUCGAACUAAAGACCUAUCAUUAUUUCACAAUUUUAAUAGAGAGAACAUAAAAUAUCCCGAUCAAUAGGAAUGUCAUGUUUACAACUUAUCAAAUAUGAUUAUUGUGCCUUUUGGCAGAAUACGUUGAUCGUUAGUCAAAUUCUAACGAACUAACAAACCACAUUCUCAAUGAAGACCUUAGAAGUCUACAAUCAACAAGCUCCCAAGCCCAAUUCAUCGCCAACAGUUCAAGUUGAUCGCCACACAACCUACGCAGGUUAUCUUAAUACGUCAUGUGCUUGCCCAUUAGUUUCUUAGCAAGGCAAGACUCUUUAAAGCAUAUUUCAGGAAUCUCAAAAGAAUAUCCAUCCAUCGGAACACUUUGCUAACAGGUUCAACGAACCUGAACGGCUAAUAGAGUCAACAAACCUGGACGUUAGGGGUUAACUCCUCAAUUCUCUAUAAAUGGCCAAGGCCAGUCACUUUCGAUAAUUAAAAACUCUCACCACUCUUAUUAUUUCCUACAAUCUUUCUGCCUUAAACAUCAGAGGCCCUUUGCCUAACACCACACCGAUGUUAAUCUAACUCCGUUCAUCUCUUUUAUUUAUGUGUGUAGGUUUUCGUCAAUAUGCGAAGUAGAAAGUUGCUCCCACAUUAAUGUCAUUUGAGAGAUUUUACUAUUAAACAAUACAAAGACUAACUGUUAGGGUUUCGUCUGAUAAUAUUUUUGUUUUUAGUUUAUAAUUUAUUUUUUUCUUUAGCAUUCGAUAAAAGAAUGCUAAGAUGUUCAAAAGAUUGUAAGGGAACUGAAUCAUUAACCCAACCAAAUGUUUUCUCAUUGUGUCACCUAUCUUAGCACUGGUUAACAACAUCCAAUCUCAAACGGUAUGAGGGAAAUUUUAUUGAUAAUGAAAAAAAGAAGUUAUAUCUAGUCAAAGGCUAGGGGCCAUAAAUCUUGGCCCUUGUAAUACAAGAAAAAAAAAAGAAAAGAAUGAAAAAAAAAAAGGGGACAUAAACCUUCCUCCUCUAAAAACGGAAAGAAAAAAAAAACUUAUACCAUUACACCAAACUUAUUAUAAUUAAGAUGAUGGUUGAUGAUUUAAAACUAUUACAAUAAUUUAGGAAAUGUGAGAGUUUUGAACUCGAAACGCAUGAGUGCAGACCUGAAUCCCUAUAUUAUAUGAGAUACUCUUAGUAGUUGGAUUGGAUACUGGCUUUAUGAAAUCGUAUUCGAAUCAUAUAUAUAUAUGGUAAUUAAAGAAUAUGAACAUUUGUUGGAAAUCUUAGUACGAGUUGUCAAUUCAUAAAUCAAUACAAAUAACAAUUGGUGGGUCUUUUUAUUUGUUUAAAUUUUUUUGUGUUGGAUCAUUAGGCAGAUAUGGAGCUGUUGAAAUCAUAUUCAAGUAGGAGAGUAGGAUCACCUGUCUAACAAACAAUUUUUAUGGAAGGUGCGGUGGGAGAAGGAUGCAUGCAGUUUAACUUGUCAUCACUAUUUUAUCUAUGGACUGCGUAUGUAUAGACACUCAAGAAACUGAGAGAAGAAAAUAAUAACAUGUUUUAGGUUAAAAUAUAUGUACGAUGGGCUUUUUAUAGAGGAUUUUACUCCACUGUAGCACGAGAGGAUUUUUUGAUCCGUCAUUAGUUCGAUGUUCCUAUUCUUAAUUUCAAAAUAUGUAUAUAUAUAUAUAUAUUGAUGUAUCGAUGCAUAGUUUUAGAUAUGUUGUUGAAUAUUCCGCUCUAUAACAAUAAAUUGAAAUACUCCUUAGGAAGCUUCUCGCAUAUAUACAUCUGCAUUGGUGUUUCAGUCUUUGAUAUGUUGUCAAAUGUCUCGCUCUAUAACAGUAAAACACGGGAUAGCCCUUAGAAAACGUAGAUGCACUUUUCUUGAAGGCAUGUAAAUAUCGAAUAAUGAAACAUUAUGAGGAGUGCCAACACAGCCAAGUUGCUAGCCUUGCAACUAAACCCGACGGCUUACAUAGGGUUUGGGCCGAGAUCUCAAACCGAAUCAUAAUCUAAAUUGAAAUAUAAUUUCGGCCGAAAAGAGGAAAACAAGAAUAAUGACACAGAAAUUAAGUAGCUGUUCGUCAUAAUUCAUGUUGCAUGCUUUCCGUGUCGGCCUGUCUCUCUCUCUCUCUCUCACAAACACAAAAACACCAACACAUCGUCAUCAUCACACAUGCAGACAGAGAGAGAGAGAGAGAGCUGCAUUGGCAUUUGAUAUCAGCUUAAAUUCCUAUCUGCUAUCUUUAAUCUGAUAGCUGAUUGGGAGGCCAUAAUAUUGAUCGAUAUGUGCAUAUCUCUUGCACGUAGCGCUGUACGUGUGCAUUUAUUCUACUGAAUUAGUUGAGGCCGUUGGUCCAAAACAAAGAAAACCGCAAUCUUUUGGUUUGAUUAGUUGGUAAAUACAUUGUCCAUACACGUACGUAUGUAAAUUUACGCCACAUGUGUAGUCAUAUAUGUACAACAGCUAGCUGCAGUUACUUUCUUGUAUGGUUAACUAUAAAUGACUCAUAUGUAAUGAACAAUGUUAGCAUCUCGAUUGGAGUUUCUUCUUUUACGUCAUUUUUAAAUCCUGCAAUGUUGUAUGAUGAUUGAACCCGUCUAUUUAUGACAACAAUCGAAUGGUUAAAUGAUUGAUGGUUUUGGUUUAUUUUUGUUGAAUUGCUCUUUAAGGGGAUGACCUAAAUGAUACAAAACAACAAUAACCAAGCUUUAUCCACUAAGUGAGAUCUGCUGCAUGAAUCCUAGAACACUACUGCGCUUGGUUUUGUACCAAGUCUUUCGUUAGCUCCAUAUAUCCAUAUGUUCUCUUAUAAUCUCUUUCCAAGUCUGCCUAAAUCUUUUAUUACCGCUUUUACCCUUAGUCUCCGUCUCAUAAUUGCAUCUUCGAACUGGAGCAUAUAUUGGUCUUUGGUUUACGUGUCCAAACCAUCUUAACCAAUUUUCUCUCAUCUUACUUUCUAUUGUGAUCACUUCUACUUUACCUCGGAUAGUUCUAAAUUUCUAAUCAUCAAACAACAUUAAAAGAGCAUAAAGAAAAACAAGAAUAUAAAAAGAGAUGUUUAAAGAGAAAAUUGCUAACACCCCCGUAAAUUAUAGGUACCUACUCUCCAUUUUACUCUCAGUGAAACUGACCCUUCUACUACUUAAUUAUAUUAGUAUCCUUGUUAAUUUUCAAAUACUAGCUAGUGCUCACUCUUGUAUUAGCAUAUUAGUAAUGUGUAGGAGGGUUAAUUACUUUGUAAGAAAAUAAAGCUCCAUUUUACUUGCAUUUCAACACUCCACAAACAAAUAUGUUUUUCUUAAUUAAUUAGUUAAGACUAAUUAGGAAUUAGAUUGUACAUUUUCACAAGAAAGUGUUAAUUACAUUAUUAAGAAGAAGACAGAAAAAAGACAGCUCAAGAUUAUUAUUCACAAGAAAAGGUAACCCCUCAAAAUAUUUUUAGAUUUAAUUGAGAAAUCAUGAGAGCAUCUGUCAAUCUACACAUUUUGGUAAUGAUCGACAACAUUUUCUGAUACCAUAUUUACUUUUGUAGCUAGCUUUUUCUGGCUUACGAUGUUCAAGGCUGUCCACCUGCACAUCUCCACUUAAUUUAUAUUCCCUUUUAUGUUACAAAGGACAUUUCAAGGAGAAAACCGAACACAAGAUCUCGGCUGUUUGAAUAAAUACUCUUAAUCACUUUAGCUACAAAUUUCUUACCAAUUAAAUUUGAUAUCUGAAGCACAGUUUGAAUUCAUAUUUCCACUCUAAUCAAGGUUUGCACAGUUGUUGGAAAACUUCGGUUAGACUAACUAAUUAGGGCAACUCUCUCACAUGAUUCGCAAUAAUCUGACUGCUUGAAGGUCUACGAGAACUGCUCUAUGAAUGAUGUGGUUUGAGUGACCUACAUAAUUGUGCGUAUCAGAUAGCAUCAAAAUACAAGAGCUCUCAUACUUUAAAAAAUUUUCCCUACAAAUGGCGUGAUCCGACAUCACACCAUUGAAGUGAUUAGUUGGUAUACAGCAAAUUAUCCCUAUCUGAUGCACACCACAAUUUGCCCUGCCUUUGCAAAAGCACAGAUCUGAUUCGUCUGCAUUUGCUUUACCAAGUGGGCCAACUUACUACUGGAUACAUAAGGGAGGAGGAUUGUCUGCCCUCCAAGUUUCGGUGCCCUUCCAUGCCCUCCUGUUUUGUGUGGUCACGGUUAAGUCACGUUAAUAUUUUAUAUUAUUUUUUUAUAAAGAUAAUAAAACAAAAAUAAAUAAUAAUAUAAAAUAUUAACGUGGUUUAACCGUGACCACACAAUCAGGAGGGCAUGGGAGGGCACGGUAACUUGGAGGGCAGACAAUCCUCCUCCAUACAUAAGACCUUUGUUUAGUUGUUUUAUUAGCAUAAAUAAUCACGUUAGCCUGCACGUUAUAUCAAAUGGAGGAAUUUGGAUCCCGGACCCUACUGUCCGUACUAGAAAAUCAGGACCCUUAGUUUGUGUGAAAGAGAGAAAUCGGAGCCUUUGGUUUGUUAUGAUGUGGACCACUGAAAUAAGUUAAUGAAGAGCGUUAAAUUUAAUUUGAAUGGUUCAGAUUAUCUGAUCGUUAAGCUCUAGACAGCAAGAUCGGGGAAGGAUCUCUGUCCCAAAAGGAAGCCCUACCAACGUGAUGAUAAAAACAUAAACCUUUGUACGGAUUAAGAGGUGUGUUGGAUCGGAAAAGAUUCGGGUCCUCCGACUAUUAUUUGUUCCUGUUGGGGAAUUGGAUAACCUGAAUUAUUGGAUAUGUUGAACUCAUGGAGUUUGGGGAGCUUCAGCUCAAAAAUAGACCUAUAAAGCUUCUUGUUGUGGAGCACCAAAGAAAACACCAGAUUGUUCAAACCUGGAGAAAUCUCGCCGGAAAAAUUGUUGUCUGCCAAGUUCAAUCGCUUCAAGUCGUGGCGAUCUAGAACGCAAACAGGAAAUGGUAAACUAAAACAUAAAGAAAACAGAAGAUCAAAAUGCCAUGAACUUGUCUGGUUGUCCAACAUCAAAGACAAGGAUGCAGCCAGACAUCCCAUGAUAACGAAAUGAACGAAAAUAUCAAAAUGCGAUAUCGAUUUAAAACAGAAACUCUAAUAAAUUCAAAGUCGGAAAAAGAUCGUCAAGAAGAAUCUGCAGUUUAACAGAAAACUAAUAAUAGGGACAGUUAAAGCCACGAUAUUUGCUUUAAAGCUCCAACAAGAUAGAAAAGUAACACAAUAUCUAUCAGAAGCAGUAAAUUUAGAAAAGAGAGGUUCCCUUCCCCUUCUUGUCUCCACCAAUCUCGAAAUGCUUGCACCUCUGCAGAAAUCAGUGACAACAAUCAACCCUUAGCAAAAAAAUAACGGGGUUAUACACAGAAACAAGCAAAUUGCACACAAAAUACACUAACCUUGAUCGGGUGCUGGGACACAUGCUUGCAACCCUGGCAUUGGAGCCUCAGAACAAUCUUCUUGGUAGUUUUUGCCUGUUUAUAAAGUUAAAUGUGAUCAUUAUUGAAAAAACGAACAAUAAGAACAGAGAAAUCAAUCUGCGGAAAUAGAAAUAUCUAGACAUUUGGUUUUCAAUUAUUCUUUAUACAUUCCCAGUAUGAAAAGGGGGCAAGAAGUCAAUCUUUACCUUCUUGUGGAACACUGGUUGGUCUGACCUCCAUAACCUGAUUGCUUACGAUCAUAACGCCUCUUUCCCUGAGCAGCAAGGCUAUCCUUUCCUUUCUUGUAUUGGGUAACCUUGUGCAAGGUGUGCUUUUUGCACUCCUUGCUCUUGCAGUAGGUCUUCUUUGUUUUCGGAACGUUCACCUACAACAUUACCACAUUUGAAAUGAUCCAUUAUAUCACACAGAAACACAAACUACAACAGGGAUUAUGCAAUCUGAAUAAACAAAAACCCAAUUACAAGACGCAGCAUAAGAAAUUACUAACCAACACCAAGAUAAUCACAAAAUAACGGUUUUACACAACGUGUGCAGAUAAACAAUAACUUCGACACAACAAUCUAAUAACCAUAUUCAAGAACCAGAACACACUUAACAAAAUCAUCCUAAAUACAAGCGAACACUUCGCACGGUUCAUUGUCAGAUGCGUAACUUUGAAGUCUAAGAGGCAUCCGUAAACUAAGGUGUGACUAAUGGAGGUGACAUUGGCGGUUGGGCACCUAAAAUAGCAAAUGGUUAUCUUCAUACUUAUUGAGUACUCGAUCACGAGCCAAAGCAGAGGUGCACCGGUUCCACAGCGGGUACCGGACCACCGUGAAAUCCCGGACACCCAUUUUCUAUUUCGGGCACUCAAUAGUCAUCCACAGGAAAACCACCUACAACUCCUAAGGAGUAAGGAAGCACAUUCAAGCAUCAAUUGUUACAGUUUUCUUCUGAGCUAAACUAAAACAAGUUUAUGCUAAUUUUUCAAUGAUUUAAAUAUGGCAUCCAUCAUACAAUCAGGGUAUAAUCUUAACAUAAAUCCCAAGUUUAACCCACAAAAUUAAAGCAAAGAACAGUAGCAAUCAUCGCAUAACCACUAAAUAUUAACAGAUUUAGAUUGGAAAAUCAAACGCAGAAGCAGUAAAUAUAUGAUUAAUAUUGUUGAGAUUUAGAGAGAGAGAGAGAGGUACCAUGGCGACGGCGGGUUCGUAAGGAGAUGACUGAGCGGUAGAGCAGAAACGGGCUCUCGGCUAAACCCUAGAAGAAGCACUUGCGGUAGGUAUUUCAUGGGUCGCCUUUUAGGGGUUUUGUCGAUUCAACUUGGGCUCGGGUCGAGGUCCAUCUGGAUCAGCCACCCUGCCCACUAUUUUGAGUAAUUUUUUCUGGAACACCGUCAUGUAGUAUUACUAUUUCAUUUAAAUAAUUAUAAAUAAUAAAAAUAAAAAUAAAAAUAAAAAUUUAUACAUAUUUUUUAGCUUUUCAUAUACCAUUCUUUAUUCGAACAAAAACAAAAGACAUGAUCAGACAAGAAUCUGAAAGGCGAAAAGAGUGUUUAUCAUUUCUCCACUAUUAUGUACAUCACAAAAACUAGAGUUGAUUAGCGUGUAGUCUCUUUGUAUUCCGAGCUCGAAUCACUCUCCUCGUAAAAACUAGAUAAUAUUCAAAAAAUUUCUCGACAAUCAAGACUGAAAUACAUUUGGACGACAGAGGAGGGACUUAGGAUUUCCUAAAAUCCAAUGUACAAUGUUGUAGGUAAAAACUACAUCAUAGUUAGCAACUUUUAAGACUUUGUAUUUCUAUCAACGUUGUUCUUUUUUGUUCUACGAGUACGAGGAGAACCAUCCUUUUGCUGUAACAAAGUGAGGUUAUCGGCCUUUCCAAUCACGGUACAAAUACACAUUACAACUAAAACAGUAAAAACUGAUGCCAUAUACGACGGAUUUGGCUUGAAUGAACCCCGUGACAAUGGUGGCCUGUCCACGCUGAGUGAUGCAAAUCCCUCUCCCGACUGCCUCUUCCUGCGAAAUGGGCAAAUGGUUAAGAAAGGCUCGUGCGUAUGCAAGAUGAGUUCAAGGAUCGAGGAACGUUUUCUCUUUCAAAUGAACGUAAGGGCAUGUUUAAGACUGAAAGUCAGAACAGUAGAAACGAACCGCGACUGAGGCAUACCCCAAUACGCCCUUUAUCGAUUCCCACAAGGAUACAGAACGUUUAGUGGCCUGGUUUGAAGCACUGGUUCUAUGCUUGCCAAAGUUCCCAUCUCGUAUCCCUGAAAUAAGCACGAAUUUUUCCUAGUCAUAAUUUAAACCUACUAUGGUGUUUCAACUUAGAUAGUGGUUUAUAAGAGUCCCGAACUAUACCAGUGCCUUUGGGAGCAGCUGAAUGGCCUUCUCUAGAUGACUUAAGUGAAGCCAGUUCUUCGACAAGGGCACGUUCCUUAUCACUGUCAUUAAAGUUACAAUAAAUUCCAACGAAGAACAGAACGGAAGGUAUUGAGAUAUCAAGCUGGAUGCCAAGUUCAACUAAUAAGUUUAAACUAGAGGAAAGAAGGAAGCAUAACAUAGUAUAAGGAUUCCAACCGGAUUAUCUUUGGGAUCAGAACAUUGACAGUAAAGUGAUCUCCUCGAGCAGAAGGUCUGUUGAUGUCUGGAACCCCCAUGCGUCGCAACUUCACUGUCUCUCCAGGUUGAAUUCCCGAAGGAAUCUGAAGCUCUUUCAAACCUUCAACAGUUUCAACCUGAAGUUAUAUCACAAUUUCUAUGUCAUACGACUUAUACCAAAUAAAAGAACAUUGAUAUUUCUAGACCUUCACUAAGUGAUAAUGGUAGGAUUACCUUUAUGACGGUCCCUAAAAUGGCCUCGGUAUAAUCAGUAUUGAUUUUUGAGUACAGAUCGAGACCGCACUAUGUAGACAUCACCAGCUUUACCCCUGCCAUAGUGCAGAUGAUAAAGAUAUUAGUGCAGGGCAUGCCUUACUAUCAAGUCUCAUACAGCGAGAGUCUUGAAAAGUACAAACAAAUCGCGCCAAUUCUAUUAAGUAUAACAUAAAAGUGCAUCUCAUUGUUACCAUAGAUGGUCAAACGCCAAACAAAUCAGCACUAGAACAUAAAAGUGCACGCCAUGGGUAGAUCAGAAAACGUUGGUAUUUAUUGGAAUUUGUUUCUGUCAUAGAGGUUGUAUGUUUUCAAACAUAUUGAAUUAACAAAGAACAGGCAUCAACAACUAGACUAAAUGAGGAAAACAGAUUUAACGCACACGUAAAUUUAAAUUGUGCAUAAACCUUUUCUUAUCAAACUUCCCCUCUUCUUGAAUUUGCAUUGUGGAUCCAUCGUUAACACCAGCUGGGAUGAUCACGUUCAUAGUUCUUUUUUACUGCACUUGUCCAUCACCACUGCAUCUUUGGCAAGGAUCAGUGAUUAUUAUACCAUCACCACCACAUUUUGAACAGGUUGAUACCUAUUAAUCAUUAAAUAUCAUCUGUGAAGCAUAUCUCUUAGAGUGUGGUCUUGAAAAAAUUAUAGGAAGACUUCUAUGGUGUCUGCAUUAUGAGGCCAAGAAACUUUUUGCGUAACUGGAGGUAAUGCAGUUUUGAUGAUUUUUAAUGUUAUAAGCAGGUCUCUUUACCUGCGAUAUCGUUCCAAAUGGUGUUUUCUGAGUUUUCAUCACCCCUCCUCUUCCUCCACAACCAGUACAUGAUUUUAUUCCUUUAUCAGAUUUAGCACCUUAGCCGACCCCACUUAGUGGGAAAAAGCUUUGUUGUUGUUGUUGUUGUAUCAGAUUUAGCACCUGUUCCACCGCAGUCAUCACAUGUCUCAACACAAGAAACUUCAAUUUCUCUCUGUACCCAGAAAAUGGAUUCUUCAAAGCUCAAACACAGAUCGCACCUGCAACAUGAAAGUUAAAAGAAAAGCCUAGAAAACAUAAUUUAUGUGCCUCCAAAACAGAUGGGGAAGAUCAUUCAACUGUAACAGUGAAACUACACGGUUACCGAAUGUCAAGACGCUGGUUUCCCCUACUGCUGAAAUUGAAGUUCAUGCCUCCUGAUUCACCCCUUCCACCAAAAAUCCCAUCUGACCCUCCAAAGAACGUAUCAAAAACGUCAAAAGGAUCCACCUACAGAAUUUUGGUGAUUCAUUAGCAUGCAGUUAAACCGGUCAUCUACUUCACUAGGAAAGCAACCAAAAAUUACUAAGAAAAAUGCACUUUCCCAUGUCUAUAUUACUGAGAAGACCAGGAAGAUCUUACCCCUGAUGAACCCAUGGUCGAGGAAUCAUAUUCUCCCUCUAAACCAGCUUCACCAAAGUGAUCAUAUAACUGGUUUGGUAUUGCUGUGCUUUGAAAAAAAACUGUUUCUGCUAUGCUGUGAGAAUAAACUCAUUUUUACUGCUUCACGUGUUCAGUUUUUUUUUCACUCAAAAUUGUGAAAAUAAGCUGUUUUUAAGUGUUUACCAAACACUUUUUUGAGCUCAGCUUUUUUUGAUACCCACUUUUUAUAAAAGCAACUCAAUAUCAAACCAGUACAAAGACCUUUUCCCGCCAUCUGAUAGGACCUACAAAAAUGAUGAAUGAAAAACGGAGCAUGGAUGCAUCAUAUGCAAUACACUCUGGAGGUUCAGAAAACAAGAGUCAAAUCAAUACAUGACGAUAAAAUGAAUGAGAAAAAAUCCCAUCUUUUACUGAAAACUGAUGCCAAAAGAAAAACAGAAAUGCGAAAAUGAAGAGAAAAAUGACAAUGCAGCAUCACUGAAGAAGAAAAACUAGAAAUCAUAAAUCGUAAUACCUCAUACGCAGCACUAAUCUCUUUGAACUUGUCCUCAGCUCCACCGCCCUUGUGCGGAUGAUACUGUUCCAAGUUCCACCAUUUCCGAUAUCAAAUUUCCAUCCGACACAAAAUGUAAUUAGAUUAUAUCAUCUAUAUAUGAGUAUCAUGGCUAAUUGCAACACAAUUGACAUCAAAAUCACCGCCUUCCGGAUGAAAAAACUAAAUCUUUCGCUAAUCGCCACUCAUUCGAACAUAUCAAGCAGCUUUGCUUACAGUGCUAAAUUGGGUUUCAACUUUCAAUGCAUCCAACUUACAAAUUUCUGAAAAAUCUUUUCUUCUGCUUCAAUUUGUAUGCAAAUAACACGCAUUGGAAAAUAAACAACAGAAAGAAGUAGCUAACCUUUUGGGCGAGCUUUCUGUAGCGGACUUGAUCUCCUGCAGCGUGGCAGUUCUGGUGACGUUAAGGGUGUUCGUCGCAGGAAUCUCCUGGCAGACGAGCACACAGCUCCCCUGGGAGAAUGGCGUCGGUUGAGGGUAUCUGUCGUACUUCUGCUUUCUUCUUGAGCUCGCUCGGGCAAGCCUUUGUCGGGCAGAUCUUGGUCGGGCAAGACACACUUCGGGCAAGGCUCGUCGGGCAGUUCUGAAAGAGAAAGACAGAGUUAAUUUGAAAGGGUGCCUUCGUGGGGCCUUAGAUGUAGGCCUUAAGGCUCACAAUCAAGAUUAACUUUGUAAUGCUCAGGCGUGCCACUGCCAUCUUCAGUAUGGCAGAUGUUGAAUGGGUGUUAAGCUUUAAUUGAAUAUGUAUACGCCCGAGAAACCAAGUUAGAUAUAAACAGGUGCCUUUGUGAGGCCUUAGGUAUAGGCCUUGAGGCUUCCUGUCAAACUAAACCAGCGCUUGGAUGUAUCAUAUUUGGCCUUUUAUGGUUGCCAGAGUUUUAUCACUAUUAUACCUUUGAUUAUCUGAAUCCAAGAGGUAGGACGAACCCAAAUGAGUGCCUUUGUAGGGCCUUAGGUAUAGGCCUUGAGGCUUCCCAUCAGAGUUAAUCCCUAUACUCGGACCAACUAGACCGCAACAUGAAAUGAAGCUAAAUAGAUGCCUUCGUGGGGCCUUAGGUGUAGGCCUUGAGGCUUUCUAUCAAAAUUCACUCCCUGCUUAAGCCUUUUCUAUGAAUCAAAAUAUAAUAGCAACGAAACGGAGAAAUAGAUCGAUUACUUGCGCCCCAAGUAACUUCGGACUUCUCGCUUAUCAAGGAUUGUCGUGGAUGGGUUGAGUCCAACAUAGAGUUCUUUUUAUGCCUUGAGGCCAAGGACUUUUAAACUGAUCUUUAAAUUACAUGCCCGCCGGGCUUAAGACUUAGAUCUGAUUUGAACUCUGACGCGAUUCAGAUCGAAUCCAAGUGCUGAAGACUCAUUUUCACUAUGACUUUGCUAGAAAUAACUUGUAUAUAAAGGGAAAUAUAUAACAUGUUAUUGUGCUUUUUAAGAAAAAGAAAGAGACAAAGACAGAGCAAAGAUAGUCGGGAAAGUUUGAACCUUAUCGGCCAAGGCUGAACUUCUUUACAAAAUCUAUCUAUGUAGCUCUGUCAGAGGUCUGAAAGCUUUUAGAGGGUUGACGGGGAGAAGAGGAUACAAAAUGAAUCGAUACCCACCAUGAACGAGGUAGCAGAGCUAUUACAGGGGUUUGGGAAGGGUUAUCCCGAAUGGGAUGAAGGCUUGUGCUGACUACAGCUUCGUUGAAGGCAAAUCUGGCUUGAGCAGAGUUUUGGCUUUUGUUUGUUUGUUUGAGUGUCCUUAAUUCUGUCUUCUCUUCCUCAUUUUAUAGACGGCUUCAGCUUGGGUUCCUGUAGCAAUGGCGGUUGCCCGAAUGCGGUUUGGUGAUGACUCACUAUCUUUUUUACAUGAAUGCCACCAAUAAAGUACUUUAUUGGGCUGUGCAGUGACUGAAUAACCUACCCCCUGUGGUCUUUGAGCAGGUAAGCAGGUGGCCUUUGUAAUUUGUGCCCAGCCGAAAGCCUCUUUCCUGCCUCCUAAGUUUUCCUCUGGGCCUUGGGUUUGGGCCGACUCUCUCUCUGGCCCAAAGUUCAGAUUUUAUCCCAAACAAAGGGUCUUAUAGUAAUCGGUCGCCGCGGCACUGGCGAUUAACCGAGCGCCGCGCUUGGGCUUGGCGCGGCGGAAAGGAGCUGAAUUGGGUUUGAAGAUCGGGUUUUUACUUCUGGUGAAGAAUGUAGAAGCGGCGGAGCUGAGGGCGGAGCUGCUCAAAGAAUAGGGCGGAAGUGGAACCGCAGAGUUGGGAUUUGGCAGGAAAUUGGAGGUGCAGUUGCUUUGGGUCAUGGGCAUACUUCGUUUUUUGAGAUUGAAAAUGGACGGUGGAGAUGGAUUAUGGAAUUGGGAGGUGUCGGGUUUUAGCAGAGGUUUUAGGGUGAAGGGAUUGGGAACUUUAAUAAAAAACAAUUAUUACUGUUUACUUUAACGAAACAUCAUAUUUUUAUAUUAAAAAAAUCAAUUAUGAUACUAUUCACUUUAUCCUUUAUUUUGUUCUUAUCAUUAAAACUUAAAAUUUUCAAAUAUUUUUUAUUAGUUUUCCUGAAAGGAUUUCGACGAAGAAGAAAGAAGAUUGUCAAACUGUCAGAAAUGAGAACGAAACAUAAGUUUGGGUCCCAACUGGUAAAUAUUUUCGGAUACGACAAACAAGAUUGAAGCAAAUGUGAGAAUAAUGAAAAGUAUAUAAAGACCGUUUUACCCUGAUGGAGCACCAAGAAUAGUAGGUGAUAAUUGACCUUCUGGUAUUCAUUUCUACGUUAAGAUAACAACUUACAUGACAUCGGGAUUUUACAAUCAUGUUGUUCAACCUACGUCAAUGCAAUCCUUGUUCCUCGGCUUAUGGCGUCAUCCUUUGUCUGAUUAAUUGAUUAAUAUAUUUCUUUUUAUGAGUUUUUAUCACAAAUGGUUCCUAAUGUAUUGUGAAGUCACCAUUUUAAUUCUUUAUGUUUCAAACUAUAUCAUUGACUUUGUAGGACCCAAAUACAUGACAUGUCAGCACGCUAACGGAAUUCUUAAAGAAAUUAGACGGCAAGGGCAACAUUGAUGAGUAAGCCAAUAAAUGGAGGACGAAAUUGAUGAGUUUUAAAUAUGAAUGACCAAACUGAUGACUUCACAAUACAUUAAGUAUCAUUUGUGAUCAAAACCCUUCUCAUUAUUUUUCAUUUUUGAGGGUGAUGGUAUUGAACUGCAAUCGUGCCAAGGGAGGAUUUCUUUUCGGUUGGACUACCCUAGUAUAGCUCCUGCAUAGUGUUACAUGUGUGAACGACAAGAUUAAUACGUCAUCAAAAUUCGUUUGUGGUCAACUUUAAUUGCUUUGUUUCUACAACAAACCGUAUCAUUUAUUAACUUUUCUAGUUCUCUUGCUCACCAAAUAUUGCCCAUCAACACCAUUUUUCCUACCAUUAUAAUUUUCAUGGUGACAAAUGCAAUUCCAUCGAUUUUCAUUCUUUGAUUAAAGCGUAAACAAGUGAUUUCCGUAACAAAAAUAAACAAAGGUAUGCAUAAGUCAUUUCCCUACGUAUAUUGACUCAGUUCGGAAAUACCCUGGCCGCAACACCAAGGCAUGGUUUGAAGAAUCGUCAUGGAAUCAGUAACACAAAUUCAUCAAAGAAAUAAUAUCGGCGAAUUCUCAAGUUCACAUUGAAAAGAAUUAAGAUCAAUUGAAUUGAAAGAAUGGAAUGUGUAAAUCUACAUGAUGUUCUGUUUCUACAUGUUCUUCUUCAACUACAUUGUACAGUAUUGCAAUCAGUCCCCGUUUGGGUGACUACUUAAGUCGAGAAGAAACAGUCGGAGGAACACAAUAUGUAGAGAUGCCCACAACUGCGAUUCAGCGAAGGCAUCCGACGUCCUCUUUCCUAAUGCGAGCUCUUAUUUCGGAAAACUACUUCUUCCUCCCUACGUACACCGCUGCGGUCCGCCAAAAUUUGAAAAGAAAAAACACCAAAGCUAAGACUGUGUGUCUAUGUACAAGUUGUAUCUUCUUCCUCUCCUUUCGGUUGGGGCUGCAUUUGUCGACAAACUAAUUUCUCCAAAGCUUCCUUCAUCCACCAAUUUUGACAUGCUUCUCUCGCUUCAGCGACUGUCAUCUGCAGAAUACGAAAUGCAUUCCAAAAUUUAGAACUACUAAUAAAUCAAUUCAGCCGACGUAACAAAAUUUAGGAGAGCAUACAAUCAAGCAAAAUGUAUCGCAAUUCCACGCACCCAUUCACGCUUGCGGGAACUUUUCUCGGGCCAAAGUUCCAACUGCUGCUGGACAAGCAAAGGGAACAUGUACCCCUCAUGAAAUGCGCCCUGGCUUUUGCUCUUGUAACGCCACAUUCCCAAUCUAGUCUGCAAGUACAUCAUCCGAACAGUCGAUGAGUAAAUGGAUUCAAUUCAACUCAAUGAAAUUAAACUAAACUACUACAGAACAGGAUUGCUUUAUUGGUAUUUUGCAGAUACUUACUUCAAGAUGGCCAAUCACACCGGCUUCCUCCAGCGUCUCUCUUUUUGCCGCCUCUUCAAUCGACUCAUCCAUUUCCCAACCUCCCUGUAAUCAAUCACAUUGUGAAUGCAUAAACGUUAAUGACAAUCGAAAAAAGAAACCAACAAACAAAAACAAAUGCUUUCUAGUUUCUGUGGUAAAAUGGGACAAAAGUAGUACCUUUGGGAACAACAUUCCUUUCCCCUUCUGUGAACUAAUCACAAGAACUUCCAAUUCCUCAUCAGAUGAAGUUUUUUCGGUUUUCCGGUAUCUGUAUGGUAUGCAUCUGCAGAAUUCCCAAAUCAACACAACAAAAAUUAGAUUACAAACAUACAAAACCCCACAUAUGACAGCAAUAAUUCAUUCAUCUAAUCUUAAAAGACCGCAACUUCACCAAAAUCCCAGUUGAGUUUUUCUUAAAUUCAAGCAUUUGAUCACAAAGACCACAACUUUCAUUCAUUUAACAAAAACCCAAUUGAGAUUUUCUAAGUUUCAAGGCUCUAAGAUUGAAGAAUUUUGAAAUAGGUCCGAAACCAAAGAUGUAAAUUUGAAGAAAACCACAACAGAGAUAUGAAACGUACCCUACAACUUGGCGGCAACCUUUUUCAUAGCGCUGGAAUUGUCUUCCGGUCCGGGAAACUAAAGAAACCAUGUUCUCAAUUUGCAUGGGGAUGAAUUCUCCACCAUUUUUCUUGGAGAAAACGGGAGAAUUAGAAGAAUUGCAAAUGUAAUUCACAAUACUUUUUGAGAGAAAGAGACCCAUCGAUUACUUCUGCAACUUUCUCUACGUGUAGAUUGAAAGGAAAAGAAUAAGAAAUACUUGGAAUAUUUCUUUUCUUCAAAAGAAAUAGAACCCACCAAUUUUAGAGGGAUAUAAAUAAAAACAAAACCAAAUUGGUUAAAUUUGGAAACUGAAAUUCUAAAAAAAGAUUGGCUUUAAUUGUGUGAGCAGAGAGAAGAAGAGAGAGAGAGAGAGGGGGGGGGGGGGUUGAGAGUUUCAGUUCAAAAGCGCUUUUGUGAUGGAAUUUGGAGUCUGAGUGAGUGAUGAACACUUGAGGAUAAGAAAGAAGUACUUCUGCGUUCUGCUUUUGUUUGUUGGAGAUAUACAUAUAUAUAUAUAUAUAAGGGCUUCUGGAAAUAAAGGCCACGGCUUGUUCGUCUCGAAACGACAACGGACGCGCAUGUGGUGGUGGCGGUUGACAAAGAAAUUGACCUUUGCGAGUGAUAUUUAUAGAUGGAAUCCUAUGUUGCUAUAUUUAUUGUAACUUGGUAAGCUUCUUUAUCCUUUUUGGUAAAUCUCUUGUUUCUUCUGUUUUCGGUUUUUGUAAUUGUUUGGUUAAUUGGAGAAGUAAUUCCAAUUGGAGAAGUGAAAGGGAUGGUAAAGAUAUAGUAAAAAGCAAAAUAACCAAACCACCAAUAACAAAAAAAAAAAAAAACUUUACUAUAAAAGCUCUUAAUUUUAUUUGUUUUCAUUAAUUUGAAAAAUUAAAAUUAAUAUGUAACGUUCGUUCCUUACGAUAAUAAAAUGAUAAGUCUAUUGGGUCGUUUUUAUUUUGUUAUUUCUCAAUGUUGACAAAAAAAAAAAUCUUGUUUUUUAUUUUUUAAACAUAUAUUUCACUGUAUUUUCAAAUAAUUUAGUCAAGUUGUAUUCACACAUCGUCUUAUUUUGUGACCAACUCUCCAAACAAUAGUGGAACCAAAGUGACGGUGAUGCAUGUCGAAAACACAUGUAUACAUUUUGCCUAACUAGGACCAGGAUCCUCUCCUGAGCUAAGGAUGAGGAUCCUCCUCAUCAAGGGAUGUGGACCGUUGGAUGAAAAUUCAACGGCUACAAUUAUUAUAACUUUAAAGGGACCCCCUGUUUGUAGCCGUUGAAUUUUCAUCCAACGACCCACACCAAUUGAUGAGGAGGAUCCUCAUCCUUAGCUCAGGAGAGGAUCCUGGUCCGCCUAACUAUGCAGCGAUUGUCAACGCGCCAAAGCGAGAGUUGGUGAUCGAGUGAGGAUGCUCGUACACAAGCACAUCAAAGCUUAAUAUUAUAUUCAGCGAUUGUCAACGCGCCAAAGCGAGAGUAGGAAGAUUUUUCAACUCUUGAUUUCUGAGGAAUUUAAAAAUGGCAUGAUUGUAGAUUAGAACAAAGAAUGUUGGGCGUGUGAAGGAGAAAGGAGGAAGGCUUUGGAUUAUCUACGAAGGUGUACGUGACGCGUUUUACACAACAGUUCAGUCGCAGUUGGUUUUAUAAAGUUAAAAAAAUGUGGGGCUGACCAUGAAACACGACCUUACACGGUUUCAAAAGAAAGGACUGAUGACUGAAGCAGUACAGUGCAGUGGAGUGCAGUCCAGCACUCGGCACUGAUAUUUUUGCCCUAAUUUUUAAGAAAGUCACUGUCGCUGCCCCUUGUUAGGGUUAGGGUUAGGUUAUAGUGAAAGGUAUUUCUCUUGUAUCAAGUUGGUAUUUGUAUAUUAAUAAUUUGCUAUUGGUGGUUGAAACUUGAAGGGAAGGAAAGUGACCUUCAGUUUGUUAAUACAUGAUUAUUAUUUAAUUUUAGGUUGGAUGUCUUAAGUUGAAUACAGUACAAAGCGGAUAAUUUAUUUAUAUACACGAUGUUUUUGUCUUUGAUCUGCCAACUAUGAGGAAGAGUGUUGAAAAUAUGAAGGCCUUGAAUCGUUUGAUCUAAGGGUGUGCGUCUCAUUAUAUGUAUAUGAGGUUUUAUGUACAUAUAUCAUUUAUUUACCAAUUAUUUUUUAAGUUGCAUGCUACAAUUUAUUUUAAUAUUGCUAAACAAAUAUUAAUGUUUUUGAAUCGCCAGAGGCCUCAUGUUGAAAUCCAUGUGCAAACAAUCUAAUUAUCAGAUCGAGCAUGCUAAGAAUCUCUGCAUGCAACGUGAUCGAUUUGAUCUCGAAGCCUCGACGGAAAUUAGUAGUAAAUUACUCAGUCUGAACGUACGUUUUCAAGCACGUUGAAAGGGUGGAUAAAUAUUCAAAAAAUAUGUCCUGCAAUUUCAGUAGUUUGAACUUUGAACACACGCACAAGAAGUUACUAUAGUUGUAUAAUGUUGAUUUAAUCUUUCAACUUUCAAAGUGCUUAAUUAAGCUGUUAACCAACCGGCCAGUACAAUUUGUAUCUGCAAAACAUGCCAAUAGACAACAAGGCAACUCCUCACUCACCCGAUGACAAACGUUGGGAGUCAAACUAGAACUAUACGCAAGUGAUUAAUAUGUGAAUAUGUUUGAAACCAAGUUUAUACAUUAACUUGGUCCUUUUGCUUUUGUUGAAUAUCUAAAAAUCAACGCAAAUUCUUGGUUAACCCUAAUCGUCAAAAAUACUGAACAUCGUCCUUUUCAUUUGGUAUCGAGUCUCACUUUCUCAAUUUUAUUUUUAUUUUUUUAUAAAUCUUUUGGUCGGUCAUGCUUUUAUGGGACUAACAUAUAAGUUAAUAAUCUCUUUAUAGAUAAACGAUUUGUACGUUUUUAAGUGUACAUCAACUAAGAGGAAAAACUUGCGAUAGGAUGCACCGACUACGUCAUUUUAUAAGAGUUCGCUUAGUAAACUAUAGUCUAUUGAUAUUUCUAUCAGAAGUGAGGUGGUGGGUAGAAGUAUUAUUAGACUAUAGUUUUGUUGGUUAAAAGAUAAUUAGUUAAUGAGAAGACUCAUAAGCCUAGUAAUAAAUCAAUCCUACCGACUAUCUUCUCACCAACAAGAUUACUUAAUCUACUCAUACUUUUGUCUGCCAUCUCGCUUAUGAUAUGUUGAGGAGCUAGCUAGAGGGAUCGCACAACUUGCAAUGGUCCACUGGCUAGUGAUGCCAUUUGUGUGCACUAGCAAGGAUUCAUAGGGCUUUAGCUAAAAGGGACAAUUAAUAUUUUCUAUCCGGUUAUUGAUUAGAUUCCUAACUUGUGCUUUAGUCAUCAAGUAAUCAAAUAAUUAGAAUAUCUAUAUACACAUGGUGAGAUCAUUUAGAGUAUAGGUGGGAUAUAUCAGGCCAGGAAAACCCUACUUUUCUCCAGAAAGAAAGGCGUGAAAGAUAUCAUAGCUAGGCUAACUAGCUAGCAUGCAUCUUCCGAGAAAUGUAAAAUGAAGACUAAUAGAAAUUUAUGUGGUUCAUGAAUCGAUGAGGAGGUUGUGAUUUCAAAUCACCAGCAAUGAUAAUGUCAAAAUUAUACCAACAUAAAGAAUAAUAAUAUGAGAAUUACAUCAAAAAGUUGUGAUAGUUUACUAGCAUGGGUUGACAAGGAAGAAGAAGACUAAAAAAGAUGGUCACGCAGCAAUUUCUGGAAAAAGAUAGGGAAUGCAACUUUUUCAAAGAGAGUUUUUAUAGGCAGGUGUGUCCAAGUUUCCAUCGUGUCUUGGUGUCAUUAUCUCUUGGUGUGUCUUGUAGAAUCAGUAGCCUUUCUCCAACAUGCUGUCCUACGCAAGGGCCACAACGCACAAGGGAUAGGCCCUUGGCUUUUGCUUGUGCGAUUGUCAUGCCUUUGUUCACCACAAAAGUAACUAUUUCUUAAUAUGAUUAUCUCAUGUCAAGAGGGCGACUUUAGAUUAUAAUCCCGUAUCAAAUCAUAUUGUUCUGACUGAUCUCUAAACUACCACCAUCUCUCGAGGCAAGAUUGUUGAGUCACAACUUCGGAGUCAACUUCUUCCGGCUAACCUCGUAACCAAUGAAAACUCUCUAUUCCUCCAACUAGGAACCCACUUGCUCCAGGACACGUGUCAGCAACACAACUAUGAAUUCAAAUCCUAAAUCGACCAAAGAAAAUAACUUAUCCCAACUAUACGCCUUUAUAAAAGAAUGUGACAUUUCAUUUUUUGCGUAGUCGUUAUUUAUUAUCCUAAACAAUAUAAAUUUGAAAUCUUAAAACAUUCUUUGCCAACUAAAGCAUCGAACUCUUUGAUUCAUACCACGUUGGUGGUGUUUGAUACUUGCUCUUGUGAGAAUGAUGAACCUUGAGCUUGACAAUGGAGGUUGUAGAAGAAGGAGAAGCAGAGAUUUGCAGAAAAGAGAAAGCACAGAAAGAAGAAGUAGAGAACAAUUAUUUCUGUAUAUUUCAUUCACUAACUGUCUGAAUCAUUACAUGAGUUUCUGUUUAUACUAGUUUCGUACACGUUAAGUAAACUCAAUUAUAACAAACUUAACAACUUAUCACCUAAUUUGACAAGUGGCAGCAUCUUGACCAUUGAUUUGAACCUGAUUUUUUAUACCUUUACAGCUGUUUCCUUCUUUAUAGAUUGUCGAAGCACCUAGUGCAAUUGUCAUUUUUGCCCUUUACGUUCUCGGCCUUUCCAUUUUCUGUGAUGAUAUGAGUUAAGCCCAUUGGUCCAGAGUAUGACUUUGUGGUUCAAGAAGGAGAACUAAUUAAAUUAUUCAUGCGUUGUUUUCCUCAUUAGGUGUUUUAGCCCAAUGGAUUACAAUGUUUAAUUGGCAAGAGGUCCAGCCCUAAUUAGAGUGGGAUCACUCUAAACCCACCAAAUGAGAACAAGUCAUCACUCAGUGCUCAAGUUAACUUAUCGCAUGUCCACCCAAUCUCUGUUUGUGUUUGUUAGAAUUCUUAAUCAAGAGCUCGUUUGAAAGUAUUUAAAAUGAUUAAAAAUGUUUUUUGGUAAAAGGGUUUUUAGGAUAUCAAAAACACUUGAAACACAUUUUAGAAGAAGUACCAGUUAUGUGUUUCUUGCAAAAAACACUUUAAUUGAUUUUCAUAGUUCACUCAUUUCUAUUAAGGAUUAGUUUCAAAAUCACUUUCAUCAAAAAACACUUUCAGUCAUUUUAAAAACACUUCCAAACACUAUAUAAUAAUAUUUCAUGCAAAUGUGGGUUUGUUAAAUUUUCUCCAAUAGUAGGUUUAAUAAAACAAUAUGAUACUUUAGUUCUCUUCAUUUACUAUCAUAUAGGUUUUGGAACCAUUUCAAUUCCCACAUGUUUUUAUAUUUACCAACACAUAUGAUUUUCAUGAAAAUCAAGAAUCAGAUUAACUAGAGUAGAGAGAGUAGUUGAUCUUAUUCCCUUUUCUUGUUUUUUUCUAUUCCUAAAUAGCCCAAUUUAUUAUCUAUCUCAUCCUUGUUAAAUAAACGAGUCAUAAGUUUUCACAAAACCUUUUCCUCAUCGUCACGUCACCAAAGGAAAAAAAAAAUUAAUUCCUUCCUUUUCAAUUGUGUUCCCUUUCAUUCCCCAUUUACAAAUUAGAGAAACAGUUUUAAUGGGAGGUUUUUGUAUAGAUUCAACGAUAAAUAUAUGGAAGUUGGCCAAUAGCCAUAUAAAGUCAGAUGGUAUUUAAGGAUUCAAAAUGACAUUGGAGGAAAAAGAAAAUUAAUGAAAAUGAGUUGAAAAUUUUGAGUUUUAACGAAAAUGACAAAAUAAAUGAUAAAAUGAAUAGUAUCAGGAUUGACCUUUUAGUAUAAAAAUAUGAUUUUUCGUUAAAAUAAACAGUAUUAAAUUUUUUUUGUUAAAAUUCCCGAAGGAAAUUAGGUAAGCUUCAGUCGUUGUUUAUUUGAGGUCGGCUGACCUAACAUUUCAACAAUUAUUUCUUCACGUCAAGUCUUUUGAUUGAGCCUAAAAUUUGCUCUCUACCUAUUUUCAAGAAGAAUACUUAUUCGCUUACAUAAAGAAAAAUACUUAUUCGCCUACUUGGGCUACAUGUAGCUUUCGCUGAAAAAUAAAAUUUUAAGUAGUUCAAAUUCGUUUUUGAUGAAAAUCGAACUGAAAAUCUCUUACUUACAAAUAAAAAAGGGAAAAUUAGGUUCCCAUCCUUCUUUUUGUUACUCCAUUGAUUAAAAUACUAUUCAUUUUCAAUUUUUGAUCAAGGUCCUUGGGUAUUAAUAACAUCAUUAAUUAUUUGAAUAAUAAAAUAUUUUUAUUUUUAAAUAUAAUCAUUUAGUGUUAAAAAUGUUACAAUUAGUAUAUUUAUAUUUAUGGCUAAAUUUUUUAUCAUAUAUUUUUAUUUUUAGUUUGUACCUAUUUUUAAUUUGCAAAUAUUUUUUAAUUAGUACCAAUUUUCUUUUCAUUUUUAAUUUGUACCCAUAUAUUAGUUUCUUUUUGUGCCCAAUUUUUUAAAAUUUUAUUUGUGUUUGUACCCAUGUGUAUACCAUCACGCGCAUUGUAUAUUUGAUCAAUGAUAGAAAAAUUACAUAUGGUAUAUUUAUGUUUUAUGCCUAAACUUUGUAUCAUAUAUUUAUAUUUUUAGUUUGUACCCACUUUUAAUUUGCAACAUUUUUUUAAAAUUUGUAGUAUUUUCUUUUUUAGUUUUAUUUUGUACCCAUGUAUUAAUUUCUUUUAGCACCUAUAUUUAAAAAAAAAUCAUUUGUACUCAUAAUUUUUUAAUCUUUUAUCUGUACCCUAAAAAUUCAUUUGUAGUAUUUUCUUUUUAGUUUUAUAAUGUACCCAUUCUUCUUUAUUAAUGUACCACUUUGUUAUAUGUGAAAUGUACCUAUUUUUUUGUAAAAUUUAACACUAUGGAUACAUUCUUUUGCCAUUUGUUAUUUCUUAUGUUUACAUAGUUUUUAUCCAUUUAUUAAAUCAAAAUGUUUGAAUUUUUUUAUUGUAACCGUUUCUAAUAGUAUUAUAAUGAGGGAUUUUAAAUUUAUAUGAUUAUAAAUCUCAUAAAAUAUCAAACAAUUAAUGUCAAAACUAUAAAAAUAUAAAUAUUAAUAGUAAUAUAAUGAGGUAUGCAAAGUCAAGGGACUUUGAUCAAACUUUGAAUAUUAUUAAAGUUUUAAUCAAAGAAUGUUAAGGAUUAGGGACCGCUUCCAAAAUAUUCCAAUAAAAAAAUCUACAUCUAGAUCAUAAUACUAAAUGGUUGCUAACGCAAUGUUGGGCAUGUUACUCAAUCCGAUGUAAUUAAUAAUCAUGCAUUUUGCAGGACGUGCACGUGUCAACAUCUUAUGUCAUUAGGGUUUUACAAUUCGAUACGAAAAGUUGAAAGAUAAUGGGCCUAUCCAUAUCUCCAGAAGAAAAUGAUGGCCCUGCAGCGUGCACAUUGAACGCGUGGCAUAAUCUGCGUGUUCACGGCGACGUAUGUCGGCUGCCCCGACCAACAAACUUAACCGCCCCAACCCACCACGUCAGAGGCCACGUAGGCCUCCACUCCCUUACGAGUUAAACUUACUGGAAUUACGGAUCACCACCUCUCCAACAUGGAAAUUAGACUUUUGCCCUCAAAUAAACGGAUAUGGCUGGUGUCAAGAGUUGGAACUGUUGAACCGUGCUUUUGAACGUUGACUUUUAGAUUAAAAAAAAGAACGUUGACUUGACUGCAUGGAUAGUUGGAAUUCGAAUUGGCUUCGACUAAAAGUCUAAAACCACGUUUUCCAGUCCGGAUAUAAUACAAACACACUAAAGAACACAUAAAAAUAUCAUCAUAGUUAUUUAUGGAAUGAAACUUGUGACUCAUUGAGUACUAUUGCACUAUUUUGAUAGACCAUUAGGGAAUUGAUUGGCGUUAUACAUCAUCUUAUGAUAUUUGAACGUAUUCAUACCUAACAUACGUUCGUAAUUUAAGUCAAUUUCACGUUUUUGAGCUGAAUAGUUGACAAGGGAAUCAAAUUUUUACUAAUCAACUUUGUGGAAUAAACGUUUUCUUUAAGUGGUGAUAGAGGAACAUAAAAAUGUAAACAUUUUUAAAUGGUGAUUGUGGUAUUCUUUUAAAAUCAUGGGGAAGGGAUGGUAAUUUUGACAAGCUAAGGACCAGUCAAAAAAUAGAAUCUCUUGCCCCCUAGAAUGUUUGGUAAACUUGUUUGGCAACAUAGAAUUUAAUAUAAAUAUUUUGACCUUUGAAAAUUCAUUGACGUUCAAAUUUUUACACCCAAAAACCUAUUCGGAAAAAAUCCCAAAAGGAAAAUAUCUGAUACGCUUUGCAGUUGCACCACGAAACGUUAUCCUGAUUGAGUGAAUGCAGAUAUCAUGGCAGAUCAUAAAUUGAUUUUGCUUCCCAUUUCGGGAAACAUCAAAUUUAGUGAAUACUAAUUAUCCCCGUCGAAUUAUGAGGAUUUAGAUUAGCAACUAAAUUAAAAAUAUUAAGAUUAGCUUGAAAUAUAUUUACAUUUAGAGAGCAAAUAGUUAAACCUGAUCUUGUACUAUGGAUGGUAGUCAAGGGAGAGAAAAUUACAUACAACUAACAGUAUAUUGUGUGGAAGGAAGUAUUUGAGUAAUUUAAGUAUUGUUAUGCAUUUUAAAUUUAUUAUAUGACAAUGUAUGAUUAAUUUAUAAAACUGUUGUAUGGUGGCAUUUUAAACAAAUCAAAUAUUGUCAUGAGUUUUUUUUUUUCCUUUUUUUACAUGACGAUGAAAGAUUAACUUGAAAUACUUCUAUCACGUGGCAUGUGCAUGGUGUGAUGAAAUACACAGGACCUAAACCCUAUGCGUCAACAAGGUCCAAUAGAGUCGACUCAAAACUAAUCCAAAAGUAGGAUAUUUUCCACCAAACUUCCUUUUCCAUCUUCCGUCCCAUCCUACGUCUCAUGCCUCCCAAUUUACUAUAUAUACCCGCACACGCAAUACCCGCAUACUCCUCAUCUGCCCCUUAGACUUUUAGAUACAUACAAAACAUAUAGAUAUACACCAAACAAAAUAGGACAAGUAUAUACUUCUGGGAGGAAGAGGAAGAAGAAGAUGGAGAACAGAAACAGCAACAACAGCAGAAAGAUGGAGGAGGGAUUUGAGGAAGUGGGGUUUCCAGUUCACAGCCAAGUGAGGAAGAUCAAGCAAGAAUCCGACAAAACCAUCGACUGGUUGCCGGGAAAUCCGGAGAUGAGAAGACCCGUCUUUAAAGAGAUCACCAGGCAGGUCUCUCGGUCUCCUCUCGGAAUUUCUUGCAGGCCGAUCUCCGUCGGCGACUCUUAAGAUUUAGGAGUAGGCGGGCUUUGAUUUCUGGGAACUGAUGGGAGGAGAUGAUGGGGGUUUUGGGGAUCUUUUUUGCAUCUUUCUGCUCUUGCUCCCCUGUUCUUGUUUUCUUUUUGGAUCUGGUACUUUUAGACGUGUUCCCUGUGUAAAUACAUCUUUGUAGUUUAUUAUAUUGUAGUUAUGCAGCUAUGCUUGCGAAAUGAUUUCUGCUCUUUUAUUUAUUUAUUUUUUUCUCUUUGCAUCUUAUUUAGUUAUGUUUGUUAAUUUUCUUUUAACGUGAUAACUAUAUCGAUCAUAAGAAAGUAAUUUUCAGUUUUUAUUUAUUUUUAAAUAAAAUAAAAAGUAAAAAGUAAAUAAAAAGUAAAAACAAAAUAAUUAUUAAACGUCCUUUUACAAAAAAUAAAAAUAAAAUGGUUAUAAACGGCUCAUUAAUGUAUUUUAAAAACUACAAUUGAGUAAGAAUAUGCAGGAAAGAAGCUGAUAUUCUUAAUUUUCGGCUCCUUUUGGAAUUUGGCCGUCUGGUUUUGAUUGAUUUCGUAUAAUAUCAAUCAGUCCUCCGUAAUAUAUUUGUUCUUCUCUUGACUGUAGAAAUCGGUUUAUCAAAGAUUUGAACCAAAAGGCCUACCAAUCAUGUUAUGUCAUGAAAAGUGAAAACCCUGACGAGAAGAACUUUAUCGUAACAUAGUGUUGUUGGGGCGGUAUCACUAUUUUAUAAACCAAUUACGCAGUCGAAAUCAAAAGUUGAGAUGAAUAAUAAUACACAAUUGGUUUGUGCUACUGUUAUGUUUGGCUUUGCACUUUGGUAAUACAUAGUUCUCUUGGUUUUUGGUAUGAAUUUAGGUUUAAGUAAAUUGUAGCUAUAAUCCUUUAACUUUAACUUAAUUGGAGCAAUAGUCUCUUAACUAAAAAUUCAUUACCAUUGGUCCAUCAACUCAUCAAAACGUAUAUCUAUGGUCCCUCAACGAAAAAUCUAUUAUCAUUGGUCUCUCAACUUUAAUUAAACUGGAGAAACGAUCCUUUAACUUUAACCCAAUUGUAGCAACGGUCCUACCAAUAUAACUUGUUUUGACAAAAUUUUUGACAUAGUUGACAAAAAUGACCAUAAUUACACACUGUGAUGAGUUGAGAAACCCUAAUUAUAUAAAUGGUUAUUUCAACAUAACUUAUUUUGACCAAAUUUUGAUGAAAUUGAUGAAAAUGACUAUAGCUAAAUAUUUUGAUAAGUUGAGGGACCAAUAGUAAAGAUUUUUAGUUGAGGGACUAUUGCUCCAAUUUAAUUAAAAUUGAGUGACCAUUACUACAAUUUACUCUUUUAGUUCUUUGUGUGAAGAGUCACGGUUGGUGUUUGUUCUAUUCCUAACCAACCAAAGUUGGUGGUAUAAAAAUAAUAUACUAUUACAUGAGUAAUCCAGAAAGACUAAUCUUUUGGCAAAUUUCGAUUGAUUGUAACUUUAAAGGUGUUAUUUAUUUAUAUAUAUUUAACUUAGUUUUAGUUGAAAAGGCAAGUUGCUGAUAUUUCUAUGUUCUAAUUGUUUAAUCGUUUCGGAUUGGAUGACCAAGGCUAAACCAGUCACAUUCAGGGCCAGGACCCUUUUUUUCCUAUAAAGUAUAAACCCCUUCAUUUAUAUUGACUUCAUAAGGAUUCGACGUGAAAAAUAGAAUGUCGGUUGUCGAUUACUUGACGUGCUCUCUUCCUUCUUUAACGGGUAUGAAAUCAGAUGCGUAAGAUAAACUUACACAAACAAAGUUACAUUGACUUAAUAAAUUAUAAAAAUGGAAUUCAAUUAUGCAAGAGUUUCUCAUGAAUAUGCAAAUUCACAUUGACAUUUUCCCCAUUCACAUUCAAAUGGAACGCACAAUGAGAAAGAUAAGGGAAAAGACAAAUAUGCCUUCGAAACAAAGCAGUGGUAGUGUAUUUAAGUACCAUUCGACUUCGGAUAGGUACAAUUUUUAAUACACACGUACAUACGGCCUACUCUUUGUAAAAGUAGCUUAAUUAUGUUAAACCCUUUCUCCACUUCUUCCUAAUUGUAUAGAGAAUAACAAACAGAAAUACAACAACUUUUCAUUAACCCCUUCCUUCUUCGUUACAUCAGCUAUUUAUCCUCUCAUUCCCAACUAACUACUAACACCCACGCACACGUGUCAUCAUUUUAUUAAGCCAUUUGGCAGCUACUAGGCCGUAACCUAUCAAAUUAGUUGGAUGAUAUUUCAUGGCAUGUUCAGUAAUUCCUUAAGUCCCUGCAUAAGUGACAUGGCCAGUAAUUUAGGAAUUCUUUUGAGACCAAAAUAUUUGAGUCUCAAAUUGUUUUGAGAGCUCCCUUACGAGUGACAUGGUCAGUAAUUCAGUAUGUCCUUACAUAAGUUUUUCUCAUUGAGGUCAAGCUAUUUCAUGGCGCAUCUAUGCAUUUCAAUAUAUUUUGAGAGCUGGUAAUGGCGUUUAGUCCUGCACUCAAGGUCUUUUGUUUCCUAAUCAAUAUAGUUUGUAUUAAAAAACUGCAUCAUUUAGGGGCUCGUUUGGUAUAUAGGAUUGGAUUAGAAUAAUUUCUCAAUUUAAAGGUAUGUUGAGCGGAGAUAUGAAAAAGAAAAAAAUUGUCCAACUAGAGGUUAGAUGAUGAAUUACUUGUGGAGAAACUUAUCUCUGUUUCCUUUUCAAAAUAGUAAGAUUAGAAUAAUGAUUGCCUUUUUUUAAUGUUUAAUCCUCUUCUAAUUGGAAUGAAAAAUCCUUUGCAGUCUGUAAAAUUCGUAUUCAUUAUUUUUGGAAACAAACAAAUUCGCUUUUGCAAAUCUCAAUAGAACCAACCAAAUCACCUUUCUCCUCCACCUCCUCGUCGCAUGAGAGCUGCUGCAGUGGUAACAGUACUGCUGCUGCAUGAUGCACCCACAUCAAUGUGUAUGUGUGCACCAUCCCUGAAUAGCUGCAAAGCCUGCAAGACUUUCUCUAUGCUAGUUUUCGUCUUACCUGCAAUUUUGGCUACUCACAUGUAUACAGAAGAUAUCAUCAUAUGUAUAUAUAUAAUACAUGUAAUCUUUUAGAAAUUUUGAGUGCAGUAGACCAAACGAACAUGGAUACACUUUUAAUACUUUUUUAUUUUGCAAGGAUCCUAUGCCCAACAUGAAUAACACACGACAAAUGCAUAUUAGACAACUUUCUUUUUCUUUCGUACGUUUUGCUGGAAGCCAAACAAAGAGACCCUUCAGGAAAGCUUAUUCAUUUUUGCUAGGAUUCUAUACCAACAUGGAACAUGCGUAUAUAAACACCUUCGUUUUUCCAUUGUUUAACUAAAAUCCAAAGCAAUAACACCUUAAGGAGAAACCAACCCUUCUCACACAACCUUCUUUUCAAUUCAUCUCACACUUCUAAUACUUUCUGGUUUGCUAGGAUUAUCUUUUACUAAACAUGCGCAUAUAGACAACAUUAUAAGGAUUUCCUUAAUGCUCACGAAAAAUAUUUCGAAAAAAUAAAAAAAUUUGCAUUUUUUACAGAAAAAGUGAAUUAACACUCAUGGUUUUCAGUAGGUUUUGCAAAUUCGUACAUAAAUUACCGUUCAAUCCAUUUAUUUUCACCUUCGCCUCACUAAAGUUUUGAAAAUUAAGGUGAGACUUUCUGUUGAGAUUCUUGAGUUUAUCCCAUUUGACAAUGUUCUGGCCUCACUACUAUAUUUUUCACUUAUUGUUUUAGUUUUCAGCUUAAAUACUCUACUAAAUAUACAUUUAUUGCUCAAUACAUCGUAAAACUGCUUCCAAAUUCCUUAAAAAGUUUAACUUAAUGCUCAGGAAAAAUAUUUUGUGAAAAUAAAAUAUUUGCAUUUUUGUCAAAAAACAUGGGUGUUAGGCGGGCUCAACGCACACAAAACGAGGCGAACUCAACUCGUGCAAAACAAGGCGAGCUCCGCUCACAAAAGACUGGGUGGGCUUCUGGCAUGCAAAAUGAAGUAAGCUCGCGCAAUGAAAACGAGGUGAGAUACGUCACACAAAUCGAGGCCAACCAUGCGCACGAAAAACGAGGUUAGCCCCUUGCACGCCCGAACAACGAGGACAAAAAAAGAUGGGCUUCUGGCACGAAAAUUAAUGCGGACACCUCAUAUGUAAAAAGAGGUGAACCUAGGCAUACAAGACAAAGCGAGCUCCACGCACACAGAACGAGGUGAACUCUCGGGUGCUCAGAAAACGAGUCGAGCUCCAUGCACGAAAAAUAUAUUUUGAAGAACAUGAAUAUGAUAGUUUGUAACUUUGUUGUAGUGGUAAAAGAAAUAAAAGAAAAAUUAACAAAAAUGUUUUGAAAUUCAAGAUUAUGAAUCAUUUUUGAACAUUUUUGUUAUUUGUUUUUAUUUCUCUUACCAUUACAACAAACUAUCAUAUUCAUGUUCUUUAACAUAUAUUUUUCUGUACAAAAAUCUAUUAUAACUCGGAUCGAUUUAAAAUCUAAAUUUAAAGAUAUUUGGGCUGUUUUUUUAGUUAAUUUUUCUUUUAUCUAAAUCCAAACUACAUACUAAUAGAACAUUUUUGUCAACCAAAAGAGGGUGAAAGAUUAUUUAAUAAAACAAAAAUUUUGCUUUUUUUUUAAGAAUCACCUAUAGGUAAUUUUAACAUCUCUAAUUUAAAAAAAAAUUAAAAAAUAUACACUAAAUAUAAAUGUUAACAUCUCUAUAUUUUUCAUUUAUUUUUUUACUUUUCAGCUUAAAUAUUAUACUAAAUAUACACUUGUUGCUCAAUAAAUUGUAAAUCCGCUUCCAAAUACCUUGUAAAGAUUUCUUUAAUGCUCACAUAAAAUAUUUCAAGAAAAUAAAUGUGGAUUAAACACUCACAAUUUUCGGUCAGUUUUUUCAAGUUCGUACAUAAAUCAACAUUCAAUAUAUUUAUUUUUACCUUCACCUAACUGUGAAGUUUUAAAAAUUAAGGUGGGAUUUUCCGUUGAGAUUCUUAAAUGUAGAACCCCAUUUGACAAUGUUAUGGGCCUCACUAGCCUUGGAAUGGGGCACGAUUUGGCUUCAUAUGGCGCCUAGGCUUCAAUUUGAUUAGGCAAAUUUUAUUGUGCUAGAAGCAGUUUUUCAAUUUUGAGGGAGGAUUAUCAGUUUGCCUAAGCCAUGAGGCUCCCAUUUGACAUGCUCUAACAAAAUAGAAAAGAGUCUUGAUCUUGCUUUUUAUUUGUGUAACUACAACUUGCCAAAAAAACUAGAAAGAGUUAUUUUUAUUAAAGAAGAUCAAACGUUUGCAUUAACUAGUGACCUACAAGAUCAAAAGUUGUACCUCAUAAGAUAAUCCCACUUAUUGAUAUCUCAUGUGGGAUUUGAUGACAUACUAGUCUUUUCCUUAUUUCUAGCAAAGUAUAUAUAAUAUAUACCUGCCAAAUUGAAAGAGCUUGCUACUGAAAACGAUGAGAUAAGCUCCUCUGUUUGCAAUCCAAUUUGAUUCUUUCAUGUAAUUGUGCAAAACCCUAGUUCCAUAUAUACUCGAUAUGAUUCUUACAUUGUAUUAAAGAUACAUAAAAUGAUAAACACAACCACUCGCACACUCUAAUUUAAUUUUAACAGUUGAUUUUGUUAGAUUUAUUCAAUUGAUAAUACACAGACAACAUAAAUUGGGUGACAUGAAACACAUGUGACCAUUAGAUGUGCAACUUGGGUCGAGUCAACCCAAAUCCGCCGGUGCCUAACUCGAUUUCAAACCCGAUCAAGUGAGUAAGAACGAAAAAACCCUGCCCAAACCUGACCCGACUUCAACCCGAUCAUUUUUUGGGUUGGUUCGAUGUCUUUCUUACCCAUGUUAACCUAAACCCUACCAGAUUUUGUGCUCGAAUUCACUCAUGCACAAAUUAACGAUUCCACUUCAUAUUAUAUAAGUUAUGUAUGAGUUUUGUAAUUGAAGUUUAUUGUCGGUUUUAUAUGGAUAAUAAAUGAUAAUGUUACUUUUACAUUUCUUUUGGUUGAAGCUUUGAUAUACGUCUUGUAAUUUAAUUGAUUAAAAACGUUAGAAAUAGUCUCCAAGAUGUUUUCUAUAACUUUUGUGUGGAUGGUGAUGUGCACAUGAAAUUUUAACUAAUAUUAACGUUGUUUGGUUUAAAAUUUGAAAAAUCAUGCAAAAUAAAGUGUUAUAAGAUUGAACUCAAUAAAAUUGGGCAAAACCGAACCCAACUAGAAUAAACCCUAACCAUACUAAACCCGCAUGGAGUCAAACCCAACCAAAACCCGAAUUGUGAAGGUUGGGUUGACCAUCCAACAUGUCCAACUCGUCUGAGUUGCACCCCUAAUGGUCGUCACUUCACACGUAGGCCAACCUCACUCUAAUAUUAUAAAGAAAGUUGAGGUUCCACUAUAAAACCAAUUGACAAUAUAGAAAAUAGCUAAACUCAUUGUAAGCUCUAGCAAUGUUUAAAUCCAUCACUUAUAUGAGACUUUGUCGUUCACGUUCUUAUAUUAGAAACACAUUAAAGAUAAUCAGCACAACGCGUUUGCAAUUCAAUCACAUUUUUUUUUUUAAUCAAAUGGAAUUAAUAGCUUUUUUUAAUUGUUAAAAGCGCAUUUAGCCUAUCAAAAGCAGUCCCAAACAUGGCUUUGACCAAUAGUCUUUGAUAUGCUUUUAACAAAAGGACUUCUAAGAAAACGCUUAUGAUUUAAAGUAUUUUCUAUCAUGAUUUCUAACAGAGGAUAUGACACAGAACCGAAUAUAAUGACGUUCUAAGAUUCAUAUAGAAAAAUGUUUUGUUGUUGUUGAUUCUUAAAGUGCCCAUUCCAUUUUGCGCCUUGUUGCUAUUGGGUCAUGGAAAUGAGAUUGGAUGUAGACCAGUACACAUAUGUUUGGGUCAAGUGAAUAAAACGGGGGAGGCCCGGGAGUGACCUGCACACAAAGGGAACGGUGGUGGGCCUGGCGGCCGGAGUGGUUCGUGGUGAGCACGCAAAUACUUGGAGACGAGUCAGAGGACUAUAUACAAGUGGCAGUAAAUGAAGGGUCAGGUCAGAGUCUGCGAUUUCGGUGACGAACUACCCUCGCUGCCUUCCCCUUUCCUGUUUCCUUAUCCCCCAAGUCACACCCUCACUAUAAAACCACUCUCUCUCCUCUCCCCCUCUCUCAUCCCGUUUCUUCUCCGGGUCGGUUUGUGUCGUCUCCGAGACAAACCCAUCUGAAAAAUAUCCACCUGCUUAGGGACCCGCCGCACAACACCAACGCACACACAGAGGGAAGAAUAUUUUCAAUUUUUCUGUUGUUGUUGUUUUUCACUUGAAAUCCCAGAAAUAAAAUCUAGAAAGAGGGAGACUCACCGGAAGUGCGGGAAAUUUUCUCUCUGCUUCUUAUCAUCUGGGUGGGACAAAUCCGAUCAGGUAAUUACUUGAUUAAUUUAUUUUGGUUUCUCUUUUUAUUUUUUUUUGGACUUCGAAUCGGAUUUUUAGUUGUUUCGAUUAGGGUUUCUGUUUUUCUUGUUGGGUUUUCAGAAAUUGCUGGAAAGUUUUGAGCUUGAUUUGAAUUAUAUUUGAAUGUUUUUUUUCUUGUUGGGAUGUCACAAAAUGUUGGAAAGUUUUGAGCUUGAUUGGAAUCAAAUAUGAAUUCGUUUUAGUUUAGUGAACCCAUGAAUGUUUAGUGUUUUGUUUGUUGAAAUUUGUUAAUUAAUUUAACUCCAAAUUGAAUUCAUUGAUUGCAGUUACAGGUUGGUUUUCUGGGCGUGGAUUUCUUUGAGGAGUUAUUUUGUUCUGAUUCGAUCUCCUAUUUCGGCACACUGUCGGAGAAUAGGAGGUCUGAUAGCCUGGAGGUUUCGCAGAAUAUGAGUUUUCGUGUCCAAAAUGAGCGAAGGGAUAGGUCCAGGUUUCCUGCUCAGCCUGCUACUCAGCCUACUCAGCCUGCUCGUCGAGAGUGGGUGCUGAGAGGUACCGACCCUACCACUACCACUGCUGCUGUUAACCCGCCACCAAGAGUCUACCCGAACAACCCGAAUGUCAAUGCCAACCAGCCUAAUCCAAGAUUCAAUCCAAACAACCCGAACGGCAAUGUUAGCCAGCCUAAUCCAAGAUUUAAUCCAAGCAACCUGAAUGGCAAUCUCAGCCAGCCUAAUCCAAGAUUCAAUCCUAACAACCUGAAUGGGAAUGCUGGCCUGCCUAAUCAUAGCUCUGUUCCACCAUCAGAGAUUCGGCCACACAGAGGAGGAAAUAAUGGCGUUAUUAAAGGCCAUAUGGGCCAGUCAGUGAACCAUAGAAGGGAGAGGGGAAGGAGUGAGAAUCAGGAGGAAAAGGGAUUGAAGGACUCGAAUUUGCCCCAGCUUGUGCAAGAAAUUCAGGAUAAGCUGACAAGGGGCACUGUCGAGUGCAUGAUUUGUUAUGAAAUGGUGAGGAGGUCUGCACCUGUUUGGUCCUGCUCAAGCUGUUACUCAAUUUUCCAUCUGAAUUGCAUCAAGAAAUGGGCUCGAGCUCCCACUUCUAUUGACAUGUCUGCGGAGAAGAAUCAGGGGUUUAAUUGGCGGUGUCCUGGAUGUCAGUCUGUCCAGCUCACAUCUUCAAAGGAGAUUCGAUAUGUUUGCUUUUGUGGCAAGAGGACAGACCCGCCUUCAGAUUUGUAUUUGACACCGCAUUCGUGUGGUGAGCCUUGCGGGAAGCAACUCGAGAGGGAGGUCCCAGGCAAUGGUGUGAGUAAGGAGGAUCUUUGCCCUCACAUUUGUGUCUUGCAGUGCCACCCAGGUCCAUGCCCUCCGUGUAAAGCAUUUGCCCCACCACGUUUAUGCCCUUGUGGAAAGAAAACAAUCACAACGAGAUGUUCUGACCGGGCAUCUGUUCUGACUUGUGGUCAGGAUUGUAAUAAGCUGCUUGAUUGUUGGCGUCAUCGCUGCGAGCGGACUUGCCAUGUGGGUCCUUGUGAUCCUUGUCAGGUUCUGGUUGAUGCUUCCUGCUUUUGCAAGAAAAAGGUGGAGGUUGUUCUCUGUGGAGACAUGACUGUUAAGGGAGAGGUGAAAGCAGAAGAUGGUGUUUUUUCAUGUAGUUCCACCUGUGGAAAAAUGCUUAGCUGCGGUAAUCAUUCCUGCAGUGAGGUUUGCCAUCCAGGGCCGUGCGGAGAUUGCAAUUUAAUGCCAACUAGGAUUAAGACAUGCCACUGUGGGAAGACAAGCUUGCAAGAGGAACGACGGAGUUGUUUGGAUCCGAUUCCAACCUGUUCUCAAUUAUGUAGCAAGUCCCUCCCUUGUGAGAUGCACCAGUGUCAAGAGGUGUGCCAUACUGGGGAUUGCCCACCUUGUUUGGUUGAAGUGACCCAAAAAUGUCGUUGUGGGUCAACUUCUCGGACUGCGGAAUGCUUUAAAACCACAAUGGAGAAUGAGAAAUUCACUUGUGAUAAGCCUUGUGGGCGGAAGAAGAAUUGUGGAAGGCACAGGUGCAGCGAGAGGUGCUGUCCUCUUUCUAAUUUGAAUAAUGCUCUCUUGGGGAAUUGGGAUCCUCACUUUUGCUCUAUGUCCUGUGGGAAGAAGUUAAGGUGCGGUCAGCAUUCUUGCGAAUCGCUUUGUCACAGCGGCCACUGCCCUCCCUGCCUUGAUACAAUCUUCACGGACUUGACCUGUGCAUGUGGGAGGACUUCAAUCCCUCCUCCACUGCCAUGCGGUACCCCUCCCCCAUCAUGUCAGCUCCCGUGUUCAGUCCCUCAGCCUUGUGGGCAUACAUCCUCUCACAGCUGCCACUUUGGAGACUGUCCACCAUGUGCGGUGCCUGUGGCAAAGGAGUGCAUUGGUGGGCAUGUGGUCCUCAGGAACAUUCCUUGUGGGUCGAGGGACAUCAAAUGUAACAAGCUCUGUGGGAAGACAAGGCAGUGUGGUAUGCAUGCUUGUGGCAGGACUUGUCACCCGCCUCCCUGUGAUACAUCUUGUUUGGCAGAACAAGGUUCAAAAACUUCUUGUGGACAGAUAUGUGGUGCUCCUAGGAGAGAUUGCAGGCAUACAUGUACUUCACUUUGUCACCCUUAUGCUUCUUGUCCUGAUAGCAGCUGUGAUUUUCCUGUCACAAUCACUUGUUCUUGUGGCCGGAUGACAGCUAGUGUUCCUUGUGAUUCCGGUGGAAGCAAUGCUAGUUUCAAGGCCGAUACUGUUUAUGAAGCUUCCAUUGUUCAAAGGUUGCCAGCACCACUGCAACCAAUUGAAUCAACCAGCAAGAAUAUCCCGCUCGGACAGAGGAAGCUUAUGUGUGAUGAUGAAUGUGCUAAGAUGGAGCGGAAACGGGUUCUUGCAGAUGCUUUUGAUAUAACUCCUCCAAACUUGGAUGCGCUCCAUUUUGGUGAGAGUUCUGCUGUUUCUGAGUUGCUUUCAGACCUUCUUAGACGCGAUCCCAAGUGGGUAUUAUCUGUGGAGGAGAGAUGCAAGUACUUGGUGCUCGGCAAGAGUAGAGGUGCUACAAGUGGUCUCAAGGUUCAUGUUUUCUGCCCGAUGCUGAAGGAGAAGAGGGAUGUAGUUCGGAUGAUCGCUGAAAGAUGGAAGCUUGCAGUUCAAGCCGCUGGCUGGGAGCCCAAGCGAUUUAUUGUGGUUCAUGUUACACCUAAAUCCAAAGCCCCCGCUCGGAUACUUGGGGUUAAGGGCACAACAACAGUGAGUGCACCCAAGCCUCCGUCUUAUGAUCAUUUAGUGGACAUGGAUCCCAGGCUUGUAGUUUCAUUCCCAGAUCUCCCUAGAGAUGCAGAUAUAAGUGCACUUGUAUUGAGGUUUGGUGGGGAGUGUGAGUUAGUCUGGUUGAACGAUAAGAAUGCACUAGCCGUAUUCAACGACCCUGCUCGAGCAGCAACUGCAAUGAGGAGGUUGGAUAAUGGUGCACUAUAUCAUGGCGCUAUUGUUGUUCACUCCAAUGGCAGUGCAUCUAUGGCGGCAUCAGGUUCUAAUGCUUGGGGUGGAUUGGGGACAUCUAGGGAAGGAGGAGCUUCUGCAGUGCUGAUGGGUAAUCCGUGGAAGAAGACUGUUACACGAGAGUCCGGUUGGAGGGAAGAUUCAUGGGGCGAGGAAGAGUGGCCUGGCAGUUCUACAGAUGCGCCGGCAAACGUGUGGAAUAAAAAAGCACCAAUUGCUGCCUCAGUAAAUCGAUGGAGUGUACUGGACGGUGACACGGCAUUGGGCUCAUCCGCUUCAUCUCUCAGAGUUGAGGACUAUAGAAAACUGUCUUUGGGUCCAUUGAAUUCGGCCUUGGACUCGAAAGCGAGUGGUUCGAGUUCGAGUUCCACUUUUGAAGGGCAGCCUGUUGGAGUUAUUGCAGAAACACCUGAAGUGGUUGAUGACUGGGAGAAGGCUUAUGAAUAAAGAUAGAAUGGAGAAACAGAUGAAAAAAAGUUUAGGACCGACGGCUUUGCGGGAUUUGUAGUAGUUUUAGUAGAUGUUCUGCCUUUUGUUUUCUUUUGUUUUGCAUUUGGGGGUGAUUAAAUUUUGUAGCCCAAAGAAAUGUUAGUUAGCUCCACGUUUUUGUAUGAGUGACUUUUUGGAUCAAAUGGAAACCAUUUUUCAUUUUAAAGUUGUCUUGGUGGGCUGCUCGUUGUUGCAUUUUUGUUUUAGAGAUGGUUUGUGAAAGUGGAUGACAUACAUCUAAUCCAAGACUUCUCAUUCUUUCUCGUCAUGUAACAAAACAUUUUCAGUUUUGGAUCUAACAAUGAAUGAAGAUUGAUACCAUUUAAAUAAAAAAUUUGGGAAGUGAUGCUACGAUCAUGUUAUUUGUGAGACAUCUCUUGCCAUAAGAUCCUACAUAGGGUGAGAACUGCACUAAUAAGGUUGUCCUAUCGAAGUUUAUCUUUGCACAAAGGCAGAUGAAUUCUAAUAUAUAACUGAGAUAUAUCACAUUUUCAGUUUUGGGUUUAACAAUGAAUGAAGAUUGAUACCAUUUAAAUAAAAAAUUUGGGGAGUGAUGCUACGACCAUAUUUGUGAGACACCUCUCGCCAUAAGAUCCUACAUAGGGUGAAAACUGCAAUAAUAAAGUUGUCCUAGCGAAGUUUAUCUUCGCACAAAGAUAGAUGGAUUCUAAUAUAUAAUUGAGAUACAUCUCUUCAAAUCCCUCGCUGGUCCUACGUAGUAUGAAAAACUGUCUUAUUGAACUUUUUUUUGUUGAUAAAAAGAUUCUAGCAUAUGACUGGAUAUAUAUUUGCUCUCUAUCUCUCACUUCAGAUGGCUCCGUAACUCCCAAGUUCCUUUCACACCGCACCAAUAGGCAUAUUUUUAUAUUUGAUGUUGACCGUUUGAUUGGUUGUGGUUUCGAACCUUCGAGAGUCAAGAAACAGAUGAACAACCAAAGUUGGACAAACUACAAGUCCACUCCAAAUAAACAACAGAAGAUACGAACAGGCGAAACUCCAAAUAAACAACAGACGAUACAAACAGGCGAAAUCAAUCACACAAAACGAACAUGUCACAUGUGGGAGGUUCCUCCCUCCUACCCCAAACCCACCUCCCAAACGGAAAGGCAUGUGAGAUGUGGAUGUGUAUGUGAUUUUCUCUAAUAUUAAUAUCUCGACACGGGGUAUUACGUUUUUUUUCUAUUCGUAGGUAGGACUUAAGAUCGACUAUCAGAUAAUGAGUAGGUACUUAAUUUAAUAUGACCGGUCUAUUAUGCAGCUUAGAUCAUAUCUCCUAUUGAUUCGUUCUAAUGAAAAAAUAUAUGACUGAUUAAAAUUUUCGAAUAAAUUAUUCAUUAAAAAUCAUAGGCGUCACUGUCAAACCGGCAUUCCAUCUCAACUACCGGUGUAUAUAAAUAUGAAAUAUUAUCAUCCCCUCAUUACGAUGUAAGUUGUAACAUCACUCUCUCUCUCUCUCCCCCUCCCUCUCUCUCUCUCUCUGUGUGUAAAUUGGAGGUUUAAAUUCUGUAUUGUGAACUCCGUGUGUGAAGCAUUGUGUAAGUCGCUUGGCAGUUGGCAUUCUCUCUCUCUCUAGUUUCUUAUAUAUAAAAUCUGCACAAUAACGUUUGUUUAGUAUCCAUCGCUUUAACUUUUUGUUUUCAAUCUGUCUUUUGAUCUCAGACGUCCAUGGAACCUCAGCUCAUUGCUCCUAACCAGUUCAAGGUAACUUUUUAGCUAAAAAACUUGUAUGUAAUUUUUUUUUUACUUGAUUUUAUUGGAAAAAGUUGUCUGGUUUGUACUAAAUGGCUUUAUGAACUAGCUGAAGCAUUGAGCCAUGAUCUCACUCUACCAUCUCCGUUUCGGGUUGUUGUACUCACUUGACUUGCAUUGAUCUGAUAUUUCUGUUGCUAGUAUUUUUUUAAUCCGUUACCAUGAAAUUGAAAAAAGAAAAAAUAGCCAAGAUCCAAACUUUCAAUGUUAUCUACAGAAUACUGCUUAAGACUGUGUUCUCGUGCAUUUACUGUCCGAAUCGGAGUUUUUUUUUUAUCAACGGAGAUGCGGAUUCAAAGUUUCGAACUUAGGACAAUUUUCAAUAGGCUAGAAUCCGUUACUUGAACGAAACUAGAUCUUGUGAAAUCAAAUUGAAUAGAGAAGAGAAGUAUCACUAGACAGUGGUUAAUAUCUGUCUAGAUUUGAUCGAUUGGAUCUACUUACACUAUGUUUGGAUGAAGACAUUUAAGAUUACUAACAAAUUUUAAAUGAUGGUAAUUGAAAUGAUGAGAAUUUAUUUUCUAGAAUUUGUGAAUUUUCUUGUUUGGUUAACCUAAAAGAAUAAUGGAAUUGAAUACGGACAUUGUUAUUUUUAAACUCUCAAUCAUAGAAAUUGGGAAAUAACGCAUAUUUACAUAGAAUUUAAACUUGGUAAUUGGAGGUUCCAAAUUCCAAGUUUUUUUUCACGCGAAAAUUCUAAAUUUCUAUGUUUAUGAAUCCAAACAAAGGAAUUGGUGCAUGUAAAUUUAUAAAUUCUGACUUUUAUCCAAAUUCCAAGUUUAUUUCCCUCAUCCAAACAUAGUGUUACAGUUCCCAUUCUGAUUUUGCGAUCAGUAUACAUCACCUAAAUUUUGAGUUGAUAAUAUGCAGGAGACAUGGAAACACACACUUCUGUUGUCAUUUCAGAGCCUUGGAGUAAUAUAUGGUCAAAUGAGUACUGCUCCCUUAUACGUCUUCGGGACAUUGACUGCAGAUGAUAUCACAUCAGAGGAGACCGUUUAUGAACUAUUCUCCUUCAUUUUCUGGACUAUUAACAUCAUUUCUUUACUCAAGUAUGCAUUUAUAGUAUUAACAGCUGAUGACAAUGGAGAAGGUAAUGUUCUAGUUUCGUCACAAGUGCAAGAAUUUAUUUUCGAGGAUUUCCCAUUAGAUUAACUUUUUACUUUGACUCUGUUGUAGGUGGUACUUUUGCUUUGUAUUCACUUCUGUGUAGGCAUGCCAAAGUUGGUUUGCUUCCAAAUGAAAGUAGUGCUAAUGACGUUAUGCAUUAUGAGACGGGAAGUCCUUUCAAGAUAAAGGCAGAAUCAAGGGCUCGAAGAGCCAUAGAAAAGCUUAGAUGUGGCCAUUAUUUGAUGCUGUUCCUGGCUCUUUUCGGUUCCUGCAUGACAAUUGGCAUUGGGGUGCUUACCCCAACUCUUUCUGGUUUGGCAUUCCUCAUUUUUUUUUAAUUAUAAAUUAUACUGGAAAUUUAUAAAAAAGUUUACUUUCUGCAUCGAAUUUAUGCCAAAUUUGAUCAUAUGUACAGUUAAUAUCAUUUUAUAGAUUAAAUGAUUUGUUCUGUUCUUUUUCUUAACCAGUCUAUUCAGUUUCAUCUGGAAUUCAAAGAUCAUUGUCGGAUAUUUCACACAGAAGUAAGAGCUGCCUGUAAAUUCAGUUACAGAUAUAUAUAUUUCUUUCAACCAUCCUUUAAUCGCCAUAUAGCCAGCCACUACUCUGACACAAAUGUAUCUCGUGGCUCUUAAUUUCUAACCAGUUUCAGCGUCGGAAAAACAAAGGGAGGCCAUAUCUAGAGCUUUAGAGAAAUGUGAGUAUUCUGUCAUCAAGUAGAUACAUCCAUUGACUUUGUUCCACUUUCUUGCUUGUGUUGUUUCGUAGUCAGUGACCUAAAGAAGGUUGAAUACUUUUCCCAUGAUAACUAACAUCACACCUGGAAAUUAACAUAUAGACAGUAAAUAACACAUUUCUGAGCCAGUCAAUCGUGCUAGCUAAAGUUUAUCCACUUCCCACGGCAUCUUCUAUACUGGUCACGAUUUGGAUAUCCUAUUUGUUUCAGAUGUCCCGGUUUCCACUGCAUCUGCUAUAUUGGUGUGCCUCUUCACACUACAGCACUACGGGACUCGUAAAAUUGGGUUUAUUUUUGCUCCAAUUAUCGUCGUUUGGCUGUUCUUUAUUGGUGGAGGGGGUGUAUAUAACAUUUUCCACUGGAACAAAGAAAUUCUCCUUGCUACCUCCCCCAUGUACAUGUACAGAUUUUCAGGAAUAUUCACAGCAAAAGUUGGAGGUCAUUAGGCAGCAUUGCUUUAUGUGUAGCAGGUUUUAUUCUAUUCCGCUUCAGCCAUAUAUUCCCAUGAGCUUCAUAUAAUGCUUUUGUUUUAUUUUGGAAUCAUAUGUUUUCACUAGACCUAGUUUUUCAUCCAGAAAUACUGUUCACUUUUGCAGGAUCGGAAGCAAUGUUUACAUCUCUAGGUCAUUUCAGAAGGAAAUCAAUCAAGGUUUUUGAUACAUCUCAUAUUUUUUCAAUCAUAUCUAAAAGUGUAGUUGGCAAUUGAAAUGAACUUACGGACGGUGUGUCGUGCUGCAGAUGACAUUUGUAUGCUUCAUAUAUCCAGUCCUUGUUUUAAGCUACGCCGGUCAGGCUGCAUAUAUCUCCAAAAACUUGGAUGUUAGAGAUUUCAAUCAUCUCAGUCAAUCCAUACCUAGUAAGUUGUAUGAUUUUUUUAUUUACUUGUUUUGUCUGCAAUUUUUGAGAUUUCUAACAUGUGGAAUGGAUUGUGUAUGAAAAUUCCAGAACAAAUGCGCCACUGGUUUGUAGCAUUUUCCCUUCUUGCUUCUGUUGUGGGAAGCCAGGCAACCAUAACAGCAUGUUUCUCCAUUAUAAAUCAGUGCCUGGCACUUGGUUGUUUUCCGAGAGUAAAAGUUAUUCAUACAUCAGAUAAGAUACACGGGCAGGUCUACAUUCCUGAUAUCAACUGGCUAUUGAUGGUUCUAAGCCUCGUUGUUACGAUUGGUUUCCAUGAUAUUAUCAAAAUUGGUAGCGCGACAGGUAUUUAUUUCCCAACUAGCUAUCUUCUUGUACUAUAGUUAACUAGUACAAAAAUUCCUGACAUGUUUUAUGUCGGAUAAAUAUCAACAAUCAACGAUAAAUUUAUAUAUGCUAAUAAAUAAUAAUUGUGAAUAAAUAAUUUAACAUAGAAUGAACAAAAUGAAAUAAUAUUAGGCAGACGAAUUGAAGAUCGAGGCUUGCGUACCGUAAUGUCCUUGAAACAGAAAUUUCAUCCCUACUCAGUGCUUGUAGUUCUACAGACGUGUGCUUCACCAGAUUCAACGAUCUAAGUCAAAAUUCUAGUACCAGAAAACUUGACUUCUGGCGAAUUUCUUUGUGGUUCUCUCAGUAAGAAUGUUUGGGAUUGUAGAAGAAGAAUUUUAUUUUUCUGUGUUCUAAAUGUCAUGUAGAUAGAUGUAUAUAUAAUAGGUUUAUGCCUGUUCGCAAUAGGUAUGAGAAUGUGAUGCUUCUCUUCAGAUGGGUGUUUUGUUCUCUAACGUUCUUUCAUCACUUCAAACUUCAUCUGAAAGAUGAGUCUGUUGAUAUAAAAAAUAAUUAAUUAAUCAAAUCCAAAAUUAAUUAAAAAAUUUAAUUAUUAGAGCCUGACCCCCAAGGCCCAUGGCCCUUCUUUUGAUAAUUAAUUAUUAAUUAGUACACCCAAAGUCUAAUCCUAAGAUUGAGCCCAAUUUUAUUCUUUUUGGUCCAUUACUCUAAUCACUUUUUAUAAGGAACAAAACUUUAUAAAGUGAAGACACCUUUUGGUAAUAACUAAUGUGAGACAAUGAAAUUUCUACUCAAAAUUUCCAACAUUUUAUUCUCCCCAGAAAUGCUUGUAACAACAAUUGGUUGUCUAAUCGAUGUUAGCUAAAUCUUCCACAGGUUUGGCUGUAAGUUCUGGAAUGCUUGUAACGACUUGUCUCAUGUCACUAGUAAUUGCGCUAUAUUGGGAGAAAAGUUUGUUUGAGUCGGUCUGCUGUCUAAUAUUCUUUGGAUCCAUCGAGGUGAUGUAUGUAUCGGCUUGUAUGUUGAAUUUUCACAAGGGAGCUUGGUAUUUGGUUGUCCUUUUGGCAAUGUCCCUGACUAUCAUGCUUUCAUGGCAUUACGGAACCAAGAAGAAGCUCGAAUUUGAUAUACAAAACAAGGUCUCUGCAGAAUGGCUUAUAGGCAUUAGCCCGGGCCUCGGAGUUACUAGGGUGCCCGGGAUUGGUUUCAUUUAUUCUGAUAUAGUGACAGGAAUUCCAGCUUUCUUCUCACACUUCAUUACCAAUCUUCCAGCGUUUCACCAAGUUUUGAUUUUCGUGUCCUUCAAGUCUCUGCCAAUGCCUUAUGUCCCUCCAAGUCGGAGGUAUCUUGUUGGCAGGGUUGGCCCGAGGAAUUUUAAGAUAUAUCGCUGUGUUGUGAGAUAUGGAUAUUGUGAUCCUAUUAGGGACACUGAUAAUUUUGAAGAACAGAUUAUUAGUUCGAUUGGUGAAUUCAUUUGCAUGGAAGAAAAUGAUUUUGAUUUCCAAAAUUCAUCCGAAGGAAGAAUGGUGGUUAUUGGAAACCCACCAGCUGAUGGAACCGGAAGUGCUUUGAUUCCCUUGAAUGAUACAAAUUCAUAUGAGAUGGAGUGCGUAAGUAUGGCGAGCAACGAAACUCGGUCUCCAUUAGGUGAUGCAAUCGAGAGUGGUUUUACGCCGGUGAUGAGAAAAAAAGUCCGGUUCAUGUUGCCUCCGAAUAGUCCGCAAAUGCACGUAUCUGUGAGGGAGGAGCUGCAAGAACUGAUUGAUGCUAGGGAGAGUGGGACUGCAUACUUCUUAGGGCAGGUGCAUUUAGCAGUGCGUGACGGAUCAGACAUUCUAAAGCGAUUGCUGAUCAUGACUUAUGUGUUUCUUGAUAAAAAUUGCAGAGAGCCUCCAGUUGCACUCAAUAUUCCUCAUGCUGCUCUUGUUGAGGUUGGCAUGGUCUGUUGCAUAUGAAUUGUAUUGCCAGACGCCGUGCGGGCAGGGGAUCGAGCAACGAGUUGUACAGAGAGCGAGAGGAGAAAAAGAGGACAGAAUCUGCGAUCGGAGGAGAUAUAAGAACUGCUAGUUUAAGUUUCUACCUUGUACUACAAGAUGUCAGGAGUAAAAUCUAUACUGCAUAUAUGAACAAGUAUUUGUGGCCAGGAGUAAUGCUACGUGCAUGCCUAGCAUAUCCUUUAAGCGGUGGAUCGGGAAGAGAUCCUUUCCGGUCUCUCCCACCAAAGUUAAAGUCCACUCAUCUGAAUUUUGAAAUUUAAUCCAACGGCUAUAAGGAAUCUCUUAAAAAAUUAUAAUAAUUUUAACUGUUAAACAAAAUUUUAAGGAUCCGGAUGAGUGAACUUGGUGGCUUUGGUGGGAGAGAUCCAGGGAUGAUCUCUUCCCCGGUGGAUCACAUUCACCUGUUAAAUUAUUUCUCUUGAAGCAUUCAACGCAAUUGAUCACUGACAUUUUUACUUUCUGUAUAAGACCAAGUUAUUUAAUACCAAAUUAGAAUAGCUAAAAACCCAACAGGAUCCUCUUCGGAUCAUUUUUACGAUAAUUCUGAAGAUCUGUAAAUUGUGUUCGUUUAUCGUACAUUGUGUGAUUAGUUUUUGUCAAAUAUUGUUUAUGUUUAUUUUUGAAUAAAAAUAUUUAAAAUAAUUUCUAGCCGCAUGAUAUACGAUAAACAAAUAAGAUUCACAGAUCUCUGAAAUCCUCACAAAGAGGAUCCGGACUAGAACACUUCCAAAGUAAUAAAAAGGAAGAAAAAAUUUAUCCUUUACGAGACUUUGCCUGUCGUGUCAUCCUCUACAUAAUUAAUUGAUUCAAAUUUACUGCCAAAUAUUUUUGGUAAUAAAAAUUUGACAAUUAUUUUAAAACAAAACGGUGAACUCAUUGAACGAUCCACGAAUUUGUUUUCAUAACUUUUUAUUAUUGAUAAAAAAAAAAUUGAUUGAAAUUUACAGCCAAACAUUUUUGGUAAUAAGAAUUUGACAAUUAUUUCAGAACAAAAACGGUGAACUCAUUGAGCGAUCCACGAAUUUGUUUUCAUAGUUUUUUAUUAUUUUAUUAACAAUAAAAUUAAGUAAGUUGAGGUUUCACUAUAAUAUAUCAUAAGUAAUAUGAGGAACAAUAUGAUGGAUGAUUAAACUCACUAUAAUAAAAAAUAUAUAUAUUUUAAAAGGUUUAAAUUUCCAUUAGAAAAAUUCAAAUAGAUCCAUGCAGGGUGAGAUAUAGUUGCCCCAAAUAAAUAUGAACAAUGACAAUACAGAAAAGAUAUACAGGAAUUUGAAAUUUGGAAUCCUCGCCAUAAACUCAUGCAUGCCUAUUGUCAUUGUGGCUAUAUUGGCCAGGUGAAUAAUAUGAUAGAUGAUUAAUACAAAUUACUAGUGUAUUAAUACAAAUGAAAGCCAUAUUAAUUAUAUAUUACACUAUUAGUUAUGAAUGGGGGUCCUCCUUCUAGCUGGGGUGUAAUCCAUGACCAGGAACUCCAAAUCUUGUCCAGUUAUGAGAUUUUUCUCUCGUUUUGUUUUGAAUGAAUCUGGAUGAAUGGUCUUGGCGGCUUCGUCUUGAAUAAGAUCUGCACUUUUUUCGUCGACCCCUAUAACUCCUGAUGAUGCGUUGCGUGAAAGUUAACAAGGAAAAUAUUAUCAUAUCAUAUUAAUUAAAGAAAAAGAGAAUUUACCAUAAUCUAAUUAAGUAUAAGGAAAGUAAAACUAGAAUUUGAUGAGAGUAAAAUGAACAUAUGUCUACCAUCAACAACGACGAUUGAGAUGAUGAAGAUCAAAACCACGAACGCAAAAACGCGCUUGUUUAGCCCUAACACCACCAUUGCAACUGUUUGAAAAUCUAGGAAAUUAUUUGAAAUUGAAAAUGUGUUUAUAAGUUCUUGGCAAAUAUUAAGGUAUGUUUCUGCAGCUUGUGUACCUUCCUCUUCCGCUGACUUAAUGAGUUUGCUUCCUAUGUGUGUGAAGGUCGUGACUCUAAUUGGAUAUAUAUGUGAAUAUGGGGGCAGCUGGAUGAUGGAGUGUAAGUUAACGUAGGCAUAAGCAAAGCCAGAGGUUUUGAGCAUAUGAUGUCAAAUUAUAAUAUCAACUUCAGUCAAAUCUUCGUACGGACAUAAUUGUCCCAACAGUAACGUACUAUUGAUUUUUUUCUUCUCAUACAUGUAUAGCUAGUUUUCUUGAAUAAUAAUAUUGAUGACAUAAUGUGCUUGCCAUAUACAAUUUUUUUUGUCAAAGCUUGCCCAUUACAUAGUAUAGUAAAAUCUUGUUGUUCCCUUAUGUUGUACUUUUAUGUGUAAGUAGAAGCGAAUUUUAACAAACUACGUAGUAAAUAUCAACAUCAUAGGCGAACACGAAGAAUUAAACAAUCUCAAAAUAAAAACACAAGAGAUUUACAUGUUCAGCGUAAAAUCUAUGUUAUGGGUGAAUCACGGCGAAGAAUUUCAUUAAAUUAACAAAUGAAGAUUACAAAGAAGUGUUUAACUCUCACAAUCAAAAUCUCACAAAUUACAAUGCCUAAACCAAACAAAUAGAGAACCCAAAACAAACGAAGUAGUCUCCCCCCAAAUUAUUCUAUAAUUCCCAAACUCAUAAAUUGAUUCUCACCAAAUUGGCAUUCAGGAGACUGGUUCAGUGUUGACCAGUUUAGCAGAUUCAGACUUACUAUUCAUUUUUUUCUCAACGAAGAGCAUUGCGACGGAUAUACACAUGGGCUUCUUCCAACUAGGGAACACUAACAGGAUCCUUGCGCAAGAUUUCACCUCGAAUUUUUUCAAAUUCGGAUUCGAGGCCAGCCAAAAAAAUAUGCAUUCUCUGGCGUUCAAUCGAUUGUCUGUACGCGCGCUUUCACAUAAUCUUCAUCCUUCAUAGUCACCUUGUCACGGCAGUUCGCAUGUUCUUCAAUUAUUAUUAUUUUUUUCUGUUUUUUUUCAAACCUAGCUCAUGAUGUCAAGUUAGAAUUCGUAAAUGCUUUAAUACUAUUCUUCUCACUAUGAGGAAAUAUAUAUAGUUGUAACCCUAAUCACAAUUAAUCUAAGAAUUCUAUUAAGAAAAGGAAUCCUCAAUAUAAUCAAUUAUAAUAAUCACAUUCCUAUUCUACUAUAUUCUAACAAAAUAGAAUUCCAAAACGAAAUAGGUAAUACAAACCAAAUUUUCGCAUCAUUCUAAUUUUGAGCUGUAAAACAACACUUUAUAUUUCUGCUUUUGGUGGCUUCUGGUCACCAGCUGUAUGGUAUAUAUGCGUAUAACUAAAACUUUGAAGCCUUAAUUAGUUACUUACGUACCUGUACUUACGUGCUUCAUAUACAUAUUUUCUCCCAUGCAUUAUAGCCAGGAUUAAUUUGAGAUAUUAUACGUAAAUAGUAGAGGAGGGCGAUAAGCCAGCAUGUACAUAUAUAUGCAGGUGGUUGCAGUUGAUCGAUCGAAUUAUUUGUGAACGAACAUAUGCAUAAAUAGACGAUAAUCAUUCAGUUUAUUAUUAGAUUAAGAACUAGUUGGCAUUAGACCAAAAACCAGUUGGUAUAUGCUGAUCAACUUUCGAAUGCUUAUCCUAUCAAUAGCAAGAAAAUUUAAAAAUUAUUUGAGGAAAAUUAAUCACAAGUUUCUGAUAAAUUGGCACUUGGCACAAAUAAUUGGGAGGCAUGGUGGCGCCAUAUCAGCUGAGCUGUAUGUAUAUGAUCCAUGAAGGAUACAGCCAUGUCAGAGAGAGAGAGAGAGAGAGAGAGAGAGAGAGAGAGAGAGGAUGGGGUGCAUCAGUUGUGCUCCAACCACAUGGUCUCCAUCAGGAGCAUCACGUGAAGUACUUAUAUAUUUCCUUACCGUGUCCAUGAUUUGGCUCCUUAACAAGUACUCCUAAUAGUUAACCUAAUGAAGGGUCGCACGCGGCAAGCACAUGGGGCCUUGUUGCAAGGCGAAAUUAUUUGAGGGAGUUUUCACGAAACACUUUUGGUAUUGUUUAAUUUUAACGAAAAAUCACAUUUUUACAUUCUAAAGUUUUUUUUUUUUUUAACUUUUCGUUAGUUUUUCUAUUUUUUUAAGGGUGAGCUAGCAUUCUUUUAUCUGUAUAAAGUGACUUGUUUUGUUUUAGGAGUUGUUAGAGUAUAGAGUAAUUUUUAGUUCAAUGGCAUGAGUUAAUUUUCGUUAAGUGGAUGAAUUUCAUUAGAAUAUAGCACCAAAAAAUUAUUUACUAGAAUAUUUCACUAGAUUGGAGCCCACUCUAGCUUAAGGUGGCUACGCCCUUAUUUUGUUUGUAACUGAGCUAUCUCUGUUAAAAAAUGUGUUAAAAAGUGAGUCAAUUUUGUGCGUUUAAAUAUCACUGUUGAGUUGAUAAUUUCGAUUUCAACAUUUAUAUUUUUCAACAAAAUAAACUAGAACAUAAAGUCUAUCUUUAAUGAUUAGUCAAUAGUCAUGCAUGUUAGAGCAUCUCCUAUAAAUAUAGCUCUUAAAAUAUAAGUUUGUUGACGUACUUGCAGUUCUACCAAAUUUAUCGAUCUAGAUUUUUAAAAUUUGAUCAAACAAUUAAAACAUGAGUCUUCUUAAAAAAUUAUAAUAAUUUUAACCGUUUGAUCAUAUUUUAAGGACUUGAAUUGGUAGAUUUGGUGGAAGGGAUCCGGAUCCCUUUCCCUUGCAGUCAAGAGCUACCAACUAAACUUCUAUCUAGAUAUAGGGUAUAGCCUUAGCCUACCCAUCAUCGUCUUAUGUCUAGUCAUUUAGUCACAAUCAUCCCCAUUUUUUUGGGGUUAGUUUUCAGCUUGUCAAUGCACAUUGAAUCGAUCAAAUUAAACCUUCCAACAUGGAAGCGGCAUAACUGCAGAAACGCACAUGUAUAUGUUGUUUAUUGGCACUAUCUGUGUGUUUGUAGAUAAGAUUUGGAUUGCAAAUGGCCCGCCAUGCAGCGACGUCGACACAUUAAUAUAUCAGACUAUGGAAUAUUAAUAUGAAGAUUAGUUAACCCUCGUGAAUAAAUUAAUUUACAUCUGACUAACAGAGAUCGACCUGGAUUAAUCUCUUCAACAAAUACAUGGGCUUGGUUUGAGCGACAUUGGGCUUCUUAUUAAGCUUCUUUCACAGAAGGAUACACCUGUAGUAGCUAGGCCAGUCUAAUGUUCGUGGGAAGUCGCUGAGCAAGAACAUUUGCGUUUGGAAGCUUCUCCCACCCCUUUAUCAGUUAAAGCGGAGCAAUGCAUGUGUUUGAUUUAGGGUUCACACACACUGUUCAUUUACACUCAUCUUCUCGUUUUCACGCCUUGAUUCUCCAUUUUUUGUUUUACUCGUUGCCGAAGUACGAAAACAAUAUGAAGAAGUACUGCCAAUUUAUAAAUGUCGCUCUUUUUUAUUUAUAAUUUUAUAGUGUUCAUAAAUUAAAUUUUAUGAAAAUAUUGUAAGUUUUAAUUCUCAAUAUGGUAAGUAUCUUAUAUAAGAAAAUAUUUUGUAAAGAUUUUUGGGUACACAUGUGUUUGCAUAUUUUCUUAGACUUUUUUUUAGGGGUGUGCUAUCCACACACCAUUUUUUACUUCUCACACACCCCUUGUUAAUUUAUGUCCGUUGAUCUUCUUUAUUUCAUCCGAUCUGAUGGCCGAAAAUUAGAAGGGUGUGUGAGAAGUAAAAAGGGGUGUGUGGAUAUCAUACCCCUUUUUUUAUUAGCACCCCACAUAAUGUUGAAUACACUUCACAUUAAAAUUUAAUUUAAAUGACUUAUGCACCCUACUAUGCAAUGACAAUUUCGACCUUAUAAGUUAAAAAAAAAUCUAAAUACAUCCCAAAUUACUUUUAACGUAUUAUUUAGCUUAUUCAACUAUCAAAACACUCUCACCUCCAUUGUAGGACAAAAACCCUAACCAAUGAAACUACAAACACGUUGACUGAAACACAAGAUCGACGUUUCAGAAGCUUCACAUGAAGUAAGACUUCAUAUUUCAUUAUUUUAGUGAUUUCAACGACAUCGAUAUUUAUUUAAGCCUAGUUUUGCUUCCCAAAAUACCUGUGUUAUUAAAGCUAUAAGUGGUAGUUUUCUGUUCCCUUCUAUUGUCGCCAUUUUACGAUGCUCCACCUCCUCGGUGGAUCACCAUUACUUGACUUUGAAAUGGUCUUCCUUGGCUUUGAGAUGGCCAUUAUUUUAAGACCACAGAAAUGAAAAUAUGUCUAAAUUUUGGAAACCACACUUUGGAAAUGUAUGGAAUUGCAAUAGGUACUAACUACUAACCAAUUGAAAUGGUCUUUCUUGGCUCUGAGAUGAUCAUCUUAGUUGCUCAGAGAGGGUUUUGAGCUUGUCAAUAGGUACUAACUACUAACUAAUUCAUGUUGCAAAAUUUUGUUGCAUACUGAUAGUGAAAAAAUGUAUAACUUCUGUAAUGAGUUCAUGUUGAUAAAUGUUGAGACACUCAAUAAAUUAGAGCGUUCCCCGGAGAGGCUAAUGCUUGUCUAAGUAUUUUGAAAUUGUUGUCGGUGUAGGAUUGCUCGAAGAACUCAAAGAAAAUGUGUACAAUGUAUAUAGAAAAUGUGGGGUGUAUGUAAAAAAUAUAAGGUGUAUGUUAAGAUUAUGGGGUGCGAGGGUAUUAUGGAGAAUUAUGUGGGGUGUUUUAAAAUAAUUUUUAAAUGAAAAAGUAAUUGUGGGGUGUUAAUAUAACAAGCCAUUUUCUUAUGUGCCACUAAUUCAUUACAAUAUAUUUAGGGUAAAUUACAUAGUAGCCCCUCAGGUUUGAGCUCUAUUACAAUCGCAUACAACAUCUUUAAAACAUUUCACUUUCAUACCUCAUGUUCUAUUUUAUUUCAAAAUAAUACCUCUGUCACAUUUUCCAUCCAUUGAUCCGUUAAGUGCUGACGUGGCUGACACAUUUGUGCCAUGUGGCUGCCAAAUGUGUGCCACGUGGCAAAAUUUUUUUUUUUUUAAAAAAACCUUAAUCUUCUAAAUUAAAAAAAAAAAAACCAAAAUACUUGAUUAUCCCCUCCUCCCCCCACCCCCCCCCCCGGCCCCACGCUCCCUGCAAAACGCAUAUCCCAUUAUCCCCCCCCCCCACGCUCCCUGCAAAACCCAUAUCCCAUUAUCCCCCCAACCUAUUAUUCCCCAGAUCCAAUUAUCCACCCCCAUCCCAUAAGACCCUCGUACCUGCAACGCAUCCCAUUUCCUCGCAACCCCCCUCCCCGGAUCUUCAUCUUCUUCCGCAACCCAGAAAGAAAAAAUAAAACCCCUUUCAGUUCGUCUUCUCCCCCCUCUCUUCUUCCCCUGACCCCUAUCUGCAACCUAGAAAAAAAUAAAAAAAUAAAAACCCAGAUCUCGACCGCCAUCGUCGGGUUCGUGAGGUGAAAAUAGGAGAAAUGAGUGUGGAUUUAAGGAGUGGGUGUGUGAGAGGAGGGAAGAGGGUGGGAUGGGGGCUUAUGGGAUCUGGGUUGUGGGUUCCAGGUACGAGGGGCUUAUGGGAUUUGGGUUCGCGCGGGCGCGGGGAUGGGGUGGUUGGGGGUGGAUAAGGGGAUCUGGGGAAUAAUGGGUUGAGGGGAUAAUGGGAUAUGGGUUUCGCAGGGGGGGGAUAAUCAAGUUUUUUGGUUUUUUUUUUUUUUUUUACCUUCUUCCAAGGUUCAGGGUUGGGGGGAUUCGCAUGGUUCAGGGGUUAGGGGAUAAUGGGUUUCAAGUUUUCUGGGUUUUUUUUUUUUUUUUUUUUAAAUUUAGAAGAUUAAGGUUUUUUUUUUAAAAAAAAUUUUAAAAAAUAAAAAUUGCCACGUGGCACAAAUGUGUCAGCCACGUCAGCACUUAACGGAUCAAUGGAUGGAAAAUGUGACGGAGGUAUUAUUUUGAAAUAAAAUAGAACGUGAGGUAUGAAAGUGAAAUGUUUUAAAGAUGUUGUAUGCGAUUGUAAUAGAGCUCAAACCUGAGGGGCUACUAUGUAAUUUACCCAUAUAUUUAGGUACGAACAUUUCGGUACACUAGGUUAGUAUAAUAUGUUUAGGUACGGAUAUUUCGGUACACUAGUUUAUCAUAAUAAAUUUAGGUACCAACAUUUCGGUACACUAGUUUAGUAUCAUAUAUUUAGAUACGGAUUUUUUCGGUACACUUAUGUUUUUGCAUAUUUUCUUAUGUGCCAAUAAUUCACUACAAUAUAUUUAGGUAUGGACAUUUCGGUACACUAAUUUAGUAAAAUAUAUUAUGAUACGAACGUUUAGCUACACUAAUUAGAGGAAGUAAAAUAAAUAUAAUGAAUUAAAAUGUGUAUAAUAAUAAAUAAUUUUAAUUUUAAUUAAUGACAUUAAAUAAAAUAUCUAUUAAAUAUUAAAAAAAUAAUAUAAAUUUGAAUUAAGGGUAAAUUACAUAGUAGCCCCUCAGGUUUGAGGUCUAUUACAAUCCCAUACAACAACUUUUAAACAUUUCACUUUCAUAUCUCACGUACUAUUUUAUUUCAAAAUAAUACAUCUGUUACAUUUUCCAUCCAUUGAUCCAUUAAGCGCUGACAUGGCUGUCGCGUGGCAAAAAAAUAUUUUUUAUACAUUAAAAUAUUAUAAUAUUAACCCUAUUAAAAUAAAAAAUUAAAAAAAACAGAAAAACCCAAACCCAGAAAUGAUUCCCCGCAACCCCAUAUCCCACCCCUACCCAUCUCUUCCUUCCCUUCCGUCCAUGCCCUCCACCCCCUACCCAUCUCUUCCUUCCCAUUAGAGUUGAAUAAAAAGCUCAACUCGUUUUGAGCCUCUCUUACCAAUAUCACAAAUAAAACGAGUAAAAUAAACCCUAGAACCCUAAUCAAAUCAAUUCCAAACUCUUAUAUGAAAUUUUGAGGGAAUGCAAACACCAAUUCAAUCACCAAUCGAGACCGAAAUGCACAAACUUAAACAAAUCCAAUUACAGAGAGAGAGAGAGAGAGAGAGAGAGAGAGAGAGUUGAACCUUGCAUUGGCCGUCGUCGCCGCCGCGCUUGCUUCGUUCUCCUGAGAUGAUGACGUCAUGAUGGUGUCGGUUGGGAUGUUCCGGUCACCGGACGGCGACGGGGCCGGGGCGAUCUCCAUGAGUUGGGUCGGAUCAGGUAAAGGGUGGGUCGGAGUCUAUGUUGGGUAUUGCCGAUCGGUCCUCGGUGGGGGUGGGGUAGUUGGAGAAAGGGUCUGAUAACAUGACGGAAAGGGAUUGGUGGUGUGUGAUGUUGUGCGCUUCGGUGAGGGUCGUGAGGAGUGUGAAUGUGAGGAGGAAGGCGUCGACGGAGCUACAUUGUGUGGGUUUUGGAUCUGGGAUUUUGGGGGGUUUGGGGUUUGAGAGAGAGAGAGUGAGGAGAGUGGAGAGUGAAGGAGGGUCGGGGGAAUGGGUUGCUGGGUUUUAGCUUUUUUUUUUUUUUUUUUUUUUUUUUUUUAAGGGUUAAUAUUAUAAUAUUUUUAAUGUAUAAAAGAUUAUUUUUUUUUGUCACGUGGUAGUCACAUCAGCACAAAUGUGGCAGCCACGUCAACGUUUAACGGAUCAAUGGAUGGAAAAUGUAACGAAUGUAUUAUUUUGAAAUAAAAUAGUACUUGAGGUAUAAAAGUGAAAUGUUUUAAAGUUGUUGUAUGAGGUUGUAAUAGACCUCAAACAUGAGGGGCUACUAUGUAAUUUACUCUUGAAUUAAGUACACAUCCGAGGACUAAAAUCAAUAUCCAAUCUAACACCAGGUUUUUAUUGAAUUUUAAUCUUCUAAGAAUUAAAAUUCAAAAACCCUUUAAAAUGUGGAGUAUGAAGAUUAUUAACAUUACGACAAACCAUAUGUAUGUUGGAAAAGUUAAGUAGUUAGCCUUUUGGUUUAUUAUAAUUUAAGGGUAAUAUUGUAUGUUGCGUCUUAGCGUUUUCUUGUAGGUUAAGUAUUUAGAUCCCUUGCCUUUUAGAAUUAGGGUAAUUUUUUUUAUAAAUAGGAUGUUUUGUAAUUUAGUUAGACGUAAGUCAUAUAAGAUGUAAUAUCUUUGAGUUAUAUGUAGCAUUUUUGGCAAUUCUAUAGCGUUUCUUUGUUUUUAGUUAGUAAAUUAACAAUCGUAGUUUUGUAUCUGAUUAUCCGUCUGUAUUACUCUACUUUUCACUAUAUAUAUA
rnacentral:lncRNA from 1 species